rnacentral:lncRNA from 1 species
ACGGUGAAUCGAGGUUCGCUGCUGGGUUCCUUCCUCGACGGCGAAUCGAGGUCCGCUGCUGCGGAAUCAAGAUAUUUCUACUAAUGUUUCUACUAGUGUGUUCAGAUAUUUCCAUCCAAUAGCAACUUGCCUGAAAUCGCGCCGAGGUUCAUUUCUACCGGUGUGUUCAACUGUCCUUGGAAGUUGAUGAGACGCGAUCAACUUGUUUGACUUGUCACCCCACCUUGCUAAUGUUUCAUGGACCUUGCCCUCAAAGGGAGUAGAAAACAUUGGCCCAUCAGAUCAGAUCAGACCAGGUGCAUUUUUUUGCCCAACGGUAGUCCAUCUGCUUGCCUGAAGAUCUGACAGUGAUAGGCGUAUCUGCGAGAGCGAAGGACGGAUGUAACAUGAUGGCAACACCGUACCAUUUCCAACAAAACUAAUACAACCAGUCAAGCAAAAAAGAGACCGCGCAAAUAAGAGAGAGUGUAGUCGUCUAGUCGAGGAGGAAGCAAACACUGGUGUAAACAAACGCGGAUAGCGUCCCAGAGUUUUAGGGGUGUUUGAAUUUUAAGAGCUAAAGUUUAGUUUUAUCAUAUCGUAUAUUUUAAUAUUAAUUAGGAGGAUUAAAUAUAAAUUAAUUAUAAAAUUAAUUGCAGAAGCCUAAAACUAAUUCGUGAGAUGGAUCUAUUAAGCCUGAUUAAUCCAUACACAUGUGCAUCUACCGGAAGAUGCAUGCUUAAGGUAUGUAUUUUUAAAACUCAGCAGCCCAAUUAGCAGGAAGAUGGUCCAGUAUAUUGCACACCAGCAUACGUGUGGAUGUAUAUUGCAUUCUUGCAUCUACCAUGUUAAAUUUGGUAAGGUCUGUUUUUUUUUUUAAUUAGGUAAGGUAUAUGCAUUUUAGUUUACUGUUAAAAUUUCUCAAAAUAAUUAAUAUGUUUUAUGAAACUCUGCUACUAUUCCAUGUUCAGCCAACAAUUCAAUGGACUUUAUUCAAAGCAAGUUUUCAAGCUUUUUAUGACAUUUUGAAAUGACGGAUUUAAGAUUUUGUAUGACAACGGUGACACUCAUAUACAUUCAACAACAACGUGAAAGGAUGAGUUCGCAUGCCAUCCUUCCACGGCCCGCCAGGCCCACCCAACGACGCAGUUGGGCUCCCUGUUUGUUCGGUACGGGGCCCUGUGCUUUUCCAUGGCAAAUGCAUGCGCAUCCCCACCUCACCGGCACACGACCGACCGACCGUCGCAGGGAGUCAGGGACGGCCGCGCGCGCUGAGGACGUGCGUGCGCCGCAUGUCGCGCGCCCCUCCUCCUCCUCCGCUCUGCACUCUGCAGAUCCGGUGAAGAUUCCGCCCAUGUGGCUUGGCUUCCCCCGGGGCAGCACGAACCACCGGCCGACGUGAGGAUCCAUCUAUCGCGAUUCACUAGGCAUGGGAAAAUACGCAACGCCCGGCGGUGUAGCGAGACUGCGCUGCGCGUGCGACGCCACGCCGCAAGAUCGACCGGCCGGCGGGCCAAGGCGCCGAUCGCGAGGGAGCCGGGAGGGGGCCUGCGCGCGGGAGGAGGGACUAGGGAGCACAUCGGCUUGCACGCGGUGGAAGUCGACCGGCGCAGGCGCCAUCGGGGUUCGGAUCGAGUGGCUUCUCCGCCGGCGCGGGCAGGGCCACACCUUGCGCGAGCGCAGCCGCGGGCGGCUCGCGAUUUGGCAUGCCCGGCUUCAGGAAGCACCAGCGUCUCCCUCCGAUUUGGCGAUGGGGAGCGGGAGACAUGCCAUGAAGCUGUCCGCUAGCAGCAGACAGGGUGAGCAGUUGCAGGCCCAGGGAAACGGUGCACGAGAUGGUCAGAUGUACUAUGAGACGGCUACUGUACACCUUCCAACAGAUUCGUAGAAUCGUAGAGCAUUACACAGGGCACGCACCAAGCCACCAAUGGGAAAGGAGCCGAGGAUUGUAGUCCGAUUGAUUAAUCAUCUUGGUCUCAGAAAAAAAGUGCGAUCCGUCUUGUCACUGUAUUUUUGACAAAAAAAAGGCUUAUUCAAAAUAUGGUUCAAGUUUUAAUGAACCAUUAAAGACAGCACUUACAAAGAUGGUAAAUACUUAUAAUUUAGUAUGGACUAAAUAUUCGUUUUUUUAACAGAGAACACUAAAUCUGUACAAAAUACGAAUGUCAGGAGUACAGAAGAAAGAUCAUAAUCCGUAUGGAUGCAGCACGGCGCCGGGCACACGAAGGUGCAUCAUAGAAUAGUGCUCUCACAGGACCCGCGAAAUUUCGGAGAACGGCCGCAGCGGCAGCAGAGCUGCUGCCUUGCACGGCGCCUUCGCCGCGGAGGCCACAACACCGAAAGGGAAACCAGAUCGAUCCGCCACCAAAAGCUCGGACAGAGCCACGCUGUGACCGAAUCGAACCACACCUGCCUCCGCUGCUCCUGUCGCGUGUCCUACUAGUUCGCUCCGCUAUUCGUCCCAGGCUCCCAGCGCCAGCGCGGCGAUGGACCAACAGACCGACGAGCCCCCGCGCGCCGGCGCUCAUGACAUCGUUGGCCACCGGCCGGGCCGGAACGUACGCUCGGCGUGCCGUCCUUCCGGCCGCUGCACCUGCACGUGCACGGCCACGGAACGGACAAGCAAAGCAACACUGGCAUCGCACCGCGCAGACCAAGAGCUGCGCUGCGCAGGCGGUCCCUGCCUUUCCGGUACGAGCGGCAGGCUAGCGGUUGCAGAAGCCAAGCUGGCGCCGUGUCGCCGGGCCCGGCGCCGGAUCAGCGCCACGCGAGACGCGACGCCGCGCCGAGAUCGUGCCGAUCUCGUCUCCGCGCGCUAAAUACAAGCUAGCUGCUCCAUUUUUUUUUCUCUGGCCGUUUGGUGGUGUUGUCUCCCCCGGCGGAAGCAAAGCCGAACGCGCCAGCGCCUCGACCGGCCGAACUCUGCCGCGCCACGGCGUCGCUGUCGCUCCGGCGAAUCAAGAGACGACGGGAUCGUCGGGAGGUAAAGCUCCGCUGCCGCCGUGCGAGCGACGAAGCCUAUCCCGGAGGUCCGAUCACCCUGCCCGGCCGGCCGGCCGGUGUCUCUCCCGAUAUUAUUCUGUCGGGGCCGUACGUACUACGUACCACGGCCUCUCGUUAGGAAAGUACAGAUAGCUGAUCAAGGCUAGCUGCAGCCUGCAGGAAUACUCAUAUUAUUGGCCCCGGGCACGUGUGAUCUGGUGCGGACCGGCAUCCGCCUGGUUGAUGCUUCGUGCGCUCUUCGUUCCCUCGAAAUCGUCUUAUAAGAAAAGAUCACAUCACGAUUAGCUGCAUUAGUGGGUGUAUAGUCACACAAAUACAUCGGGGCUUGUCGGCUCAGCGCGGCCGUCGGCAGGUACCGCAAUUGGAGUUUUCCGGCGAGCCGGCUGAUCGAUGUCGAGGUGGACGACCUAUGUGCUACCGUACGUGGCUUCAUGCCGGAUGGAGGUGAUCAUGGACUCAGCGGGGAAGCUCAUGUCAGUAGAGUAUGUGUACUCUUCUUCCACCCUGCAAGAUCGAGACCAACCGGCAAGCGCCGAGGCGCCUAUCAGAGCCCCGGUUCUGGAAAACGUACGCGCGCACCGGACUGAAACUUAGCACUAGGCGUCUAGGCACCAGCACGUUAGAGUUAGACCUUUUUUUUCUUUUGAGGGGUGUUAGAGUUAGACUUGGCAUUGGGCACGGCCGCACAGGAUAGGAGUGAUUGUAACUGCAUCGGGCCAUCGAGAGCCGGGCACUCACAGUGGCGCGCAAACCUGACAGUGCGGCAUGCACGCCUGCCUUGAUGCAACACCAGCAUCUCCCUCGGAUCCGAUCCAGAUGGCGAGGGGGAGACAUCUCAUGCAGUUGUCAGCUAGCAGCGGACAGGGUGAGCUUGUUACUAAUCACCGAAACCAUGCACUCCGAGUCUACCAAGGAUAGAUGCUACUCGCUUGUUUACACCUUUCAAGGGAUUCCUGCAAUCGUGCAGCAAUCCGGCUGCCUCUCUGAAGGAACUUAUACCCCCGGAGUUGAAGCAACCGCUUUGAAAGUUUCAGACGAUGUUUCCUGAGAGCAGCACAUGGCAAGCCACGCCCCAAUCAAGAUCAAGACCCUCCUCGCUUCUGAGUUCUGACUUGUUUUGCAUUUCUGCAGCAGCACUGUAUUGGAUUCUCGACCUCCAUUAUUCUCAAAUAAUAUAUUAUCGCCAACUCAGAUGGUGAAAGUAUAAAUCACAUGAUGAAAAUAGCUAAAAUAUCUAAAAAAAAUUCAUAUGGUUAGUCCAUCCAUGUACAACUUUUUUCUAAAAAAUUAUAUAUCUUUUACAUACUGUGUUGAAUAAAAAUAUCGUUUAUGUGAAAAUUGCAGCAGUCGAUGCGGUAUACAACUUUACAUUUGGAAAAUAUUUUAAUUAGAGCAUUUUUUAUAUUAAAAAAGGUAGCUAGAAAGUACAGAUUUGAACACUAGAUUUGAAUCUAAAAUCUAGCAUUCAGAUAUGAACUUUCUAGCCAUGUUUUGGACAUCAAAAAGGUUUAAUGAAAAUUUAUCAACUAUAAAGUUGUAGAUCACAUUGAAUGCUAUAAUAUUCAUGUAAAUUUUUUUUUCUGGAAUCAUAUAAGAGGGUAAUGAUUUUUAAGGUAACCAAAGGAUGCACUAAUUUUCGCCAAACCAUAUGGCGAAAAUUAGAUAUUUUCACCAACUUUUGUUAUGAAAAUUUGAUACUUUUGCAUUUUUUUGUUAUAAUGAAAAUAUAUUCUCGCCACUUAUUUAGCUACUGUAUAUUUUUUAUGAUAUUUCAUCCAUCCUGGGAUUAUUUUGUAGCCUUGCUAGGUCUCGUCAUAAUUGAAGCUAUCGCAGCACUAUUAUUUCUUACUACCAAUUUUUCUUGUGUGCCGUUGAAUUGUUGCAGCAUUAUCCAAUGAAAUCUACAGAAGGCAGUGGCUCAUUGUUUCAUGGUUGAGUGACAGGACACAAUAGAGGUAAGAGCUGUUCUGAUGGCAAUGAAAUUUCGACGAAAACCGUCGUCAUCAGCAAACCUGCCUUGCAUGGAGGCCCAACAAAAGAAACCAGAUCGAUCCGCCCCCAAAAGCCCGGACAGAGCCGCGCUGUGACGGAAUCAAAUCACACCUGCCACCGCCGCUCCUGUCGUGCGUCGUCCGCCUGCUUGAGUGGUUGUUAUGCUCUCAGCUCUCCGCUCGCUGCUUCCCUAGAUCCCUCGGCGAUCCAUGGCGCGCCAACCAGGAGGCAUCCGCGCGCGGCCACGACGCCGUUCAUUAUUGGCAACCACGCCCAGCCCCGGCCGGCCGGCCGGACCGCCUGGCAUGUCCUCCGCUGCACGUGCACGGGCACGAAACGGACAAGCAGCGCAAAGCCGCACGUCGCACCGCGGCAGAGCAGCGCAGGCGGUCCCUGCCCCCUUUCCGGUGCGGGGCGGCAGGCUAGGCGGUUCCAAAAGGCAGCGGCAGCCGGCAGGCACGGGCUGGCGCGGUGUCGCGGAGCUCCGGCGCCGGAUCAGCUGCACGCGCACGCCGCGGCGAGAUCGAUCGUGUCCCGGCCGUUCUGGCGGCGGGCGCGGGAGCAAACCGUACGAGCCAACCGUGAGACCACCCGCACUUUCUUCACAGCGCGCCACGGCGUCGCCAUCGCUCCCGGGCAGCAAGCAGAAGCCCGGGUCGAGAUCGGAUCGGCGGUUCCGCGGUUAGCUCCGGCGCUGCCGCCGUGCGAGCGGAGACGACGACAAGGCGUGGCCGCGUGCCGGUGCGGGAUCCCCAGCUCGGAUCGCCUGGCCGGCCGGGGAACGAAGCGUACGUGCCGUGGCUCGCUGGAAUAUUAUACCAUGGCAGGCAGGCCCAUCCUAGCUCGCCGCAGGAAUAUUUGGGCGGGGUGGUCCGCCGAUCCUGUAAUGCCCGGCCGGGGGCCGCUCACUACCUCGGCCAAUGGCCAGAGAGGAUUAGGCGUGGGCAUUAUUGCGAUGGAAUCGCGAUUAGCCGCAGCAGUGGCUGGCCGUAUGAUGCUCCAAUCGCAUAAACAAAUGGCGUGGUCCAGGAACCCCCACCAGCGGCCAGCGGCAGAUGCGCCUCUGCUCGCCGGGACUGGUGGCCCUCCUCCUCCUCCAGGGCCGGCCGGCCGGUACACAGCAACACAGCUUAGCGUGGCAGCUAUAAUUCGCCCGUCCUUCCGGUGCAGCAUCCGCACGCGCGCCACCCUGAACGAUCGAGGUUAUUACCUUUUUUUUAAAAAAAAGCCGAUCGAGGUUAUAACUGCCAGCCUGAGCUGCUGUGUUCGGCGCGUGUUCCCUCGCGGAGCAAAUGAGCCAAACUGGAGCACGCUUUUUGCAACCGGAGUUACUAAAAACCAACGGCUCCGGGUCAUCGCUUUUGUCAAGGGCUUUCAGUAGGGCCGAGUGUGAAGCGUGAACUGUCCGAGCAGGACUUCUGUCCAACCGAGCCGGAGAAGGCUCGAGGCGAUCGUGUACUUGGUGGAACGAGGCCUGGAGGACUUUGAGAUAGUAGCCUCCAAGGUUAACUGUCGGUUGCAUUAUUACAGGUUCGCAAGGCAAAUGUCUAAAAUCCGGAAGCGGUCGUUACACCGGUGGUUGCAGGUAGACUUCGUGCGUUUCUCAGGCAUAAAGCCAAGAGCUCACUGCCAACCAGGGGUCAGUGGUGCGACAGGGUAAUAGGGUCCUGAAUCUGUCUGCAGAGAGGGACGGGAACUUUACUUUACCUUCAGGGCUCAGAUAUCGCCCGUACGCGUAUCAACUUGCCUGAAAUUGCGCCCAAGUUCUUUUCCAAGUGUGCUCAACUGUCCUUGGAAGCAGAUGAGACGCGAUCAACUUAUUUGACUUGUAAUAUCUGCGAGAAAACAUUGGCCCAUCAGGUCAGGUGCAUUUUUUUUUGCGCAACAGUAGUCCAUCUGCCUGCCUGAAGAUCUGACAGUGAUGGGCGUAUCUGCGAGAGUGAAGGACGGAUGUAACAUGAUGGCAACACCGUACCGUUUCCUGCAAAACUAAUACUACUAGUCAAGAAGAAAAAAGACCGCACAAAAAAGAAAGAAAGAAAGAAUAGUCGAUUUGGAAACAAACACUAGUAUAAACAGUCGCUGAUAGCGCCCCUGAAUUUAUACAAGUCAUCUGUCACAGUGUCAGUUCGUCAGCUGUGUAGACUGUAAAGCCAGCUGCCUCACAGAGCCCCCUUUUCCGAACUGGGCAUGGGCACUGUCCGUGUCGUCCACGAGGACCAUGACCGCAUCCACGCGCAUGUCGGAGCCGGACACACGGGAGUGGGCAGGCGCCAACCGCAACCCGACGCCGCGGGCUUCACCUCCAGUUCCCGGCGGCGGCCGCGCCGGUGCAUUUAUUGGGCCCGUGGCUGGCGCGCCACCGCCACCGCCACCGCUACCGCUCCGUCACAGGCAAGGCAACGCGAGAGAGCGCCAUGGCGCCAGCAAGCCUCGCUCGCUCGCGUACGUACGUACGCCACCACGGGUCUCCCGCGCCCCGCGCCCAGCGAAAGCGAGGAGGAAACAAGCCUUUCUUUUGGGGCGGGUACACCGCGGCGCACGGAAAGGGCCAUGGCCGCUGGCCAGGGGUGCGUCGGUCCGUGCACUGGCGGGCUAACUGCCUCCCCGUUUCCUUUCGGUUACGGGAAAGGCGAAGCGUGGUUAGGCAUUGUUAAUCCGUGUGGCUUGUACUGCAAAGAUGCUGGUCAUGAUCGCGCAAGCUUUGGUUCGCGGAGGAAGAAGAAAAGUUACAAGGAACAGCAGGGGAUGUCGCGACCGGGAGGCAACCGCACGUACGCCCCUCAUGCCGGGCACCCACCCAUCGCAAGCAAAACAUGCUCUCGUGCUACAGCCUAUGGGAAGCGUGGCUGCAACUCAUGGUCCUUGUCUGCCAAUGCGAGGAGCGAGCGAGGCCAUGCUAUACGUGCUAAGCGCUGUCGGAUCGGGAUAGCUAUUUGGAGGAAGGUUCGCAUGAUCCGUUUGGAUAAAUAAAGAAACCGGGCGGUAGUAGGUUUGGAGGAGGCAGCACACAUCAGCACCCACCCACCGUGACUGUUAAAGCGUCGACAUGCUAACGGUAUCCAACAGUACACAGCGCAAAAGAAACCCUAAAAAAUUGUUCAUCAGUUCUUGGCAGAAUUUGGCAGGAACAUAAUUUUACUGCGCAAAUUUUUUUUUUGGCCUGGUCGAAUUUAUCUCUCGUUUCAGGGACAACGCUGUAUCUUACAAUGAACGGUGCUUCGCGCACAUGAGCACGGCGUAGUUUACUCGCGGGCUCAUGCGCACGAACAUGGCCAGUUUACUUUCUCACUUAUACAAGUGUAGUUUGAUUCCUGCUCGAGGUGACAAAGAAUCAGAAGGGCCGGGGAGAAAAUCGAUCGGGGGGUCAGGGGUCCGCCAGCGCCUGCGCGAGGCGCUGGACCCUGGCGGCGAUCUCCGGCGGGAUCCGCACGGCCGCCCUGGAGCGGUCCUUGCCCCGCCGGGAGUCCAGACCCAGCGCGUCCGACACGUCCUCGGAGGUCCACCCGGCGCGCCGGAGCGAGUCCGAGCACCGGUCCGUCUUCAGGACCAGCGCGUCGAGGACGGCCUCGGUGUCCGGUCCGGGGGCCUCCUCGCCGUCGAAGAGGCCGGAAGCGGUGACCUCGACCAUCUCGUCCACUUCCCUGUCCCUCCAGCCGCCUUUCUUCAGCAUUGACCCGAGCUCGUCGAGGUAGUUGUCGACCCACCGCGGGGUUGACCGCCGGGGUGGCGACGGGCAUCCCGACGAGGAGGAUGACGAGGUGGUGGAGGCUUCCGAGGACGAGGAGUCGCGGCGGCGGCGGUCGGAGGCGGCGUCGCUCCAGAACUCGAUCCAGCGCGGGGCCUGGACGGCGUCGAGGCUCCGGCGCGUGCACGACGCCGUGCUCGCGCCGGCGGAGAGCGGGGAGGCCAGCGGGGAGGAGACGGCGUGAUCCAACGUCGGCUGGAACGACGACUCCCGGGUGAAGAAGUGGAGCAGGUCGAGGCCGCAGCAGAGCACGCGGUCGUCGGCGACGAAGAAGACCGGGUUCCCCGCGAGGCCGGGGCGGCAGGGCAGGUAGCAGCGGUCGAAGAGCGGCACGAGCAGCGGCGCGCGGCGGAUGGCGGCGCGCGCGAGGCGCAGGGCGCGGUCCGGGUCGGCGGGCCGCCGCCCCCAGCAGCGCGGCCACAGCGCGCCCCGCGCGGUCUGCAGCGACGCCGCGGCUGCGGGGAGGUCGAACGCGGCGCGGAGGCCCGCGCGUCCCCGCCAGUCCGGGAACCCGGCGCCCGAGGGCACGCCGAGGGCGAGGACGGCGCGGAGGUCCGGCGGGAAGGCGAACCCGAACUCGGCCUCCGCGCGGGCGAGCUCCGAGUCGGAGAGGCCCGGGAGGACGGCCACCCCGGCCGCGCGGAGGUGGGCGAGCACCCCCGCCGCCACGGCGUGGAAGGAGUGCAGCCCGUGGCGCGGCGACGCGGACGCCGACGCGGGGCCCGCGGCGGCGCGCGUGGACAGGCGGCGGAGCCCCGCCGCGUGCGCCGCCGCCGCGGGGGCCAGCCCGGCCAUCCGGUGGUCCACGUCCACCAUGUUCUCCAACUGCUGUGUGAGCUUCCUGCCUUGAAUGAAUGCCUCCGGAUGCGGGAGUGGGAGAAAGUCCUUGAGAUGCCGAGGGAAGCGGCUGCUUGGCUCGAUGUGGGAGGAGACGAGGGGGGGCGGGCGGGUUAUAUAGGGGGAGGCGGGCGUAAGACAAGGGUGGGGCCUACGGCCGUGGGCAACGGGGGCCCUGCGGAGAUCUGAGCUGAGCGACGUAACAUCAGCAGCCGUGUGAUUGGAUUGGAGCCGAGCUGGUGUGCCUCUCCGCUUGUGCAAACGCAAAGCUCGGGUGCUGAUGAACGGCCGAACGGGUGAGGCGAGGCAGCAAUAAAUCGAUGUACCUGCUGUCACUUAUGUGGAUCGACUUUUGUUUCACAUGAGUAGAGAUAGCGAGAGGGAGAGAGGAGAAGGGCACCGGUGAUGGUACCAUCGUGGCUCUGCACCGCGGGAGCGGCAGAGGAGUCUGCCAUCGUCUCGGGUGGCGGUGACGCUUGAGGUGGCGAUGACGGCGGCGGUGAGUCUUCCCGCCGCUACUGCGCUUACACUGGAUCGGCUAGGGUUCGAGAUUGUCGGUGGGGUGGCGACGGAAUGGUGAACCCCGUCACCCGUGUCGCUAGCCCCACCUUCUCUUUAUAGCGCAGUGCGACGAGGAUCCACUAGCUAUGAACGGGCUGGAGCGCCCCCGAUCAGGGCGCUGUGAGAGGAGGCCCAUCGGGCCCGUUGGGGUCCGAGUGGGUCUCUGUGAGAUCAAUCCAACAGUCUCCCCAUUAAUCUCACUCUGUACUUUUCUUUUCCUUUCCAUUUAUUUUUCUCGUUAUAUCAUAGAUUUGUGCAUAGAGCAUCCCUCAUCGUCACGGUCAUCUGCCGAUAAACUUAAGAGCUACAAUACACGCCUCCAUUCAGAAACAGAUUCUUUAAUCUUUUAGGCCCUUAUAGUCCAGAGAUCAUAGGCUAUCCCUUAGCCCCAUGCCGGCUACGUGUUCCUUGAACACGCUGGGUGGUAAGCCUUUCGUUAACGGAUCCGCAAGUAUCUUUACUGUGCUUAUAUACUCGAGACUUAUAGUGAUCUCGGACUUUAUCUUUCACAACAUAAUACUUUAUGUCAAUGUGUUUGGCAGCAUCACUUGUCUUGUUGUUGUGUGCAUACGUUACUGCGUGCCCACUGUCGUAGUACAACUUUAGUGGUCUAGAUAUAUCAUCAACCAUUUUCAGACCGUGUAUGAACUUUUUAAGCCGGUUCACCUACCCCGUAGGCUCAUAACAUGCAACAAACUCGGUAUACAUUGUGGAUGAUGUAAUGAGGGUUUGGUUGCAACUCUUCCACGAUAUUGCUCCCCCGACGAGGGUGAAUACGUACCCAGACGUGGAUUUUCUGUCAUCUCCUGCAUACUCGAAGUCUGAGUAUCUUACGAUACGCAGGGAUUCUGUUUUUCCGUAUAUCAACAUGAGGCCUUUUGUUCCUUGCAAAUAGCACAGAACUUUCUUUACUAAUUUCCAAUAUUCUGGUCCCGGAUUACUCUGGAAUCCGCCAAGCAAUCCGGUAACAUAAGCUAUAUCAGGGCGUGUGCACACUUGUGCAUAUUGUAAGCUUCCCACAACUGAAGCAUAUGGUACCAUCUUCAUCUGAUCAAUUUCAUAUUGAUUCUUGGGACAUUGAAAGUCCCCAUAUCUGUCGCCCUUAACUAUAGGUGCAGGUGAGAUACUGCAUUUAUGCAUACUGAAUUUCUUUAGGACCUUUUCUAUAUAUGUCUUUUGAGACAGUUCUAAUACCCCUUUCACUCUGUCUCGAUGAAUCUCGAUUCCUAAAACGAAUAUCGCUUCACCAAGAUCUUUCAUCUCAAAAUGUGAGCACAAAAAAUUUUAUGUUUCCAGUAGCAGACUGACAUCACUACUCCCCAGUAGGAUAUCAUCCACAUACAGGAUUAGAAAGAUAUACUUCCCAUUCUUGAACUUUGCGUAAACGCAAUUGUCCUUAACAUUUUCUUUAAACCCGAAUUCUUUUAUUGUUUUAUCAAACUUCAAGUACCACUGUCUUGAAGCUUGCUUUACCCCAUAAAUUGAUUUCUUUAGACGGCAUCCUAACUUUUCUUUACCUUCCAUAAAAAAACCUUUCGGCUGUGCUAUGUAGACGGUUUCAUCUAGAUCCCCAUUUAGAAAUGCUGUCUUCACAUCCAUUUGAUUUAAUUCUAGAUCAUAAUGAGCUACAAGGGCCAUUAUAAUUCUGAAGUAAUCUUUACAUGAGAGUGGAGAAAAUAUCUCAUUGUAAUCAAUCCCUUCUCUUUGUGUGUAACCUUUUGCCACGAGUCGUGCUUUAAAUUUAUCAAUAUUCUCUUGAGAGUCAUAUUUGGUUUUGUAGACCCAUUUGUAGCCUACUGUCUUAGCUCCUUUAGGAAUUUUCUCUAACUCCCAAACUUUGUUGGUACUUAUCAAUUUGAUUUCAUCUUCCAUGGCAUCAAGCUAUUUGGAUGAAUAUUCACUUCUCAUGGCAUCUUCAAAUGAAGUGGGAUCGUCCUCCAUUUGAACUUCUUCGCUAUUAUAGACUUCAUAGUCGUCAGGAAUAGCGGAAUUCUUUGUUUUUUGAGGUUUCCCAUAGACCUGAGCCUGCGGUGCCUCGUCUAUUUGGGGCUGCUGUUGCUCCCCCUCAUGCGUGGCAACAGAUUCUUCAGGAAGCUGAUGUACAGGUUCCACAUUCUCAUUCAUUGUUACCAUAGAAGGAGCCAUUGCAGGUGUUGGCAUCGCAGUGACUUGCACUGGCGGUGCAGCUACGGCGGGCAGUGAGAAGAAAGUUUCUUGAAUCACAGGAUUGGGUGUAUACACCCGCUUCUCCUCAAGAUUAAUCUUACUAACUGUUCCGCUCCCCCGGACCAUUUUAUCUUUGUGACGCCCCGAAAAUUCACUUAAUUAAAUCAUGCGCUAGAGUAAUUCGUAGAAACGGUUCGACGUCAAAACCCUAACCCUAACCGGAUCGCCGUCCCGUUCCGCAUCGCUCACGACCGCCCGCCGUGAUUAGAGCCGGCGCGACCCUUUUCUUUUUCUCCUCGCGCGAAUACCGCGCGCGUGGCCGACCGGCCGCGGCUGCGGCCGCGAUUGGCGCCGACGCGUUUUCCUCGCUGUUCUCCUCGCGCUGCGCGCUUCUCCGCGCGUGGCCGACCGGCCGCGGUCACCGCCGCGACCGGCGCCGGCACUUCUCCCCUCCCCUCCUUUUCUUUUCUCUCUAAUUCUUUUUCCUUUUUUUCCUUUUCUCCCUUUUCUUUCUUUUCCCUUUUCUUCCUUCCCUCCCUUUUCUUUUCUCCCUCCUCCCUCCCUGCCUCUCCCUCUUUUCCCUCUGCUCCCGAGCGCCACACGUCGCGCGCUGCCGUGCCGCGCACGCCCCCGCGUGCCCCGCGUGGCCGUGCGCCGCGCCGUGCCCGCGCCCCGCUCUGGCCCGCGUCUCGCCGCGCCACACGCGCACGCGCCGCGCCGCCCGCCGUUGCUGCGCCCCGCGACGCCGUGCCGUCCGCCGCUGCCGCGUCCUCCCUCGCCACUGCUCCCACGUGCGCACGCCGCACCGCCCCGCCCCCCUGGCCGCGCCGUGCCGCGCCGUACGCGCACGCGCACACAGACGCCGCGUCACGACGACGGCAAGCGGCCGAGGCGCCAUUAAUGGCGCCCCGCACCUGCCGCCGCCUGAAAGUACGCCUAGAGGGGGGGUGAAUAGGCGAUCGUUGCUUAAAAUCUGCACACAAGAAUUCAGUCCGAGGCUGCCUGGCGGACCGUCCGCUGGGACUGUCCGCUGGGCACUUCCAAUGUCCGCUGGGACGUCUCGGGUAAGAAAUGUAACCGUUCAAAAACUAAAACUUGUAUACAAAAUCUACUUGAAUAGAAAUGCUCUAAAACAAGUUAGGAACACUAAAUGCGGAAGCAAUCUAGCACAAGAUAAGUAUACAAAUAGAUCGGGCAAGAAUACUACACGAAGGUACAAAGAACAAGUAUAACAAAUGUGCAAGAGAUGAAGUGAUGAAAUUAAACACAAGAGACACAAGAUUUUUCACCCGAGGUUCGAAUCCACUCAAGGAUUCUACGUCCCCGUUGAGAAGUCCACAAAGGACCGGGUUCCUCUCAACCCUUUCCUCUCUCAAGCAACCACAAAGGUCAAACUUGAGCUUUUCACUAGCAACAAGGGUAAUACAAACUUCUCAAUCCAACCACACCACGAGUUGGUUGUUCUUGAGCACCUCUAACCGUCUAGGAGCCAAGCUCCAAGAGUAAUAGAUGUGGAAAGUGUUGGAGAAUGCCAAGAGAUGCCCAAGAGAGGUGAAUCUCUUGGGGAAAGCUUGAAUCUUGCUUGGAUCUUGCUCAAAUCAAACCCUAGACCAAAGAUUUGGAGUGGGGAAGCUAGGGUUUCACUUUGGGAAGCUUUGGAGUGCUUAGAAUGUGCUUGAGGCUCAGUUUAUGCGGUUGGACUCAGAGAUUUUUCCGUUGGGGUCGAAGGGGUAUAUAUAGAGCCUCUCUAAAAACUAGCCGUUGGGCUGUUUUUAGUGUCCUGGCGGACUGUCCGCCAGGCCUGGCGGACUGUCCGCCAGGAACACUCGGGUUUGCAACUUUCUGUUCAAGGCAUGGGUUCCGGAUUUGGUUUAUUUAUGUUCUUCCACACACUUUCCACAUCCCCCUUGAUAGUACGGUAUACCUAAACUCAAGAAAACAUAAAAUAAAUAAAUUUCUCCACUUGCAACUCUUUUCUUGAUCCGGUACCGUUCUCCAAUUUUGAAUAAUCGUCAAGAUUCACUCCUUUUCUUUUCUCCUUUUUGGUUUCUUUGACCCCUGCUCAUUAUACUCAAUUGAAACAUUAGAUACUCAUUUAGGUUGUUAUUAAUCACCAAAAUAGGUCAUUAGGCCUAGAUGCACUUUCAAUCUCCCCCUUUUUGGUGAUUGAUGACAACCCAAAUGAACUAAUAAAAACAAUGAAUUCAAUAGAGCUUGAGGAAAUAUAUAUGUGAUGAGCUCCCCCUCAAUCCAUGCAUCCACAUGAUAUUCAUGAACUCCAUUUCAUAAUGAGCAUAACAAAUAAGGUUAUAGCACCAUGAUGAGAUAUAACCAAGAUUAGAUGAACAAGGAUGAGCAAUAAGUUCACAAUCAUAGCAUAGCAUCAUCCAUAAAUAAGUUAUUACAAACAAACUUAGUUCAAAUACGAGAUAAACAAUAAACACAUAGUCUCACAUACAUCCAAAUAUGCAAAUAAGUUUUUGACGGCACUCAAGCUCACCGUGACUCUAAGAACACAUGCUAGGAUACAAUCUUUUCUCCCCCUUUGGCAUCAAGCACCAAAAAGAGAAAAGACAAAUGGAAGCUAGGAGCAGCAAUCACUCAUCAUCCACAUCAUUACCUAUGUCAUAAUGUUCCCACUCAGCACCUUACCCCGGAUAAGAGACAAAGGGCCCACAAGAGAAUCACGAGAGAUACAAGAAAUCGGUCAGCUCAGUUGACUGGACCCGAAGCCUCCUGGCGGACUGUCCGCCAGGAGCCCUCAGCCAGCAACAUUCCUAUCUCAUGUAACAUAUCCAAUUAUUCAAAUAACUUAGAGAGUAUAUUGGAUGUAUAUGAUGUAGGACAUUUGGGAUAUAAUACAUGGUUUUUCAAGAGAACAUCAUAUAAAAAUGACCACGUUAACCAAUUUGAUCCAAACGAUCAAGAGAAUCCAAUAUUUUCACAAACAAGGCAUACAAUGUUUUGAAAGUCAUUUUGUUGUUAGAAGGUUUGCCAUUAGACAAGCAGGUGUGCAACACUUCAUUCCAAAUUUCUUGAAUCAAUGAUGUUUAGCUCAUUCCUUAAUGCACAAAAUCUUUUCUCAUCUAAGGGUUUGGUGAAGAUGUCGGCAACUUGGUCGUUUGUUCUCACAUGAGAGAUCUCUAUGUCUCCUUUAAGAUUGUGAUCUCUCAAGAAAUGAUGCCGGAUAUCUAUGUGUUUGGUUCUAGAAUGCUCACAAGGAUUUUCGGCUAUUUUAAUGGCACUCUCAUUGUCACAUAGGAGUGGAAUACGAUUCAAGGUGUAACCGUAAUCCUUUAGAGUUUGUCGCAUCCACAAAAGUUGAGCACAACAAUGUGCGGCUGCAACAUACUCCGCUUCGGCCGUGGAAAGAGCAACGGAAUUUUGUUUCUUAGAUGCCCAUGAUACAAGGGAUUUACCCAAAAAUUGGCAAGUCCCGGAUGUGCUUUUCCUAUCAAUUUUGCAUCCGGCAUAAUCCGCAUCGGAAUAGCCAACUAGUUUGAAAUUUGAACCUUUUGGAUACCAAAGACCUAGAUGAGAUGUAUGAACUAAAUAUCUCAUGAUUCUUUUAACAGCUCUCAAAUGGCAUUCCUUAGGAUUUGAUUGAAAUCUUGCACAUAAACAAACGCUAAGCAUAAUAUCGGGCCUAGAUGCACAAAGGUAAAGUAGUGAGCCAAUCAUGGAUCGAUAUACCUUUUGAUCCACGGAUUUACCUCCAAUAUCAAGAUCAAGAUGUCCAUUUGUGCCCAUGGGGGUCUUGAUUGGCUUUGCAUUUUCCAUGUUGAACUUCUUGAGUAUGUCAUGAGUAUACUUGGUUUGGCAUAGGAAUGUCCCUUCCUUGAGUUGCUUGACUUGAAAUCCUAGGAAGAAGUUCAACUCUCCCAUCAUAGACAUCUCAAAUCGUUUGACCAUUGUUUGACUAAACUCAUCACAACAACCUUUGUUAGUAGAACCAAAUAUAAUGUCAUCAACAUAUAUUUGGCAAAUAAAUAAAUCAUUACCAACUUUUCUAGUGAAUAAGGUAGAGUCGGCUUUACCAAUUUUAAAACCAUUUUCAAUGAGAAAAUCUCUAAGGCAUUCAUACCAUGCUCUAGGAGCUUGCUUAAGCCCAUAGAGCGCCUUAUGGAGUUUGUAAACAUGGUUAGGAUACGCUUCUUCCUCAAACCCCGGUGGUUGCUCUACAUAUACCUCUUCCUUGAUUGGGCCAUUCAAGAAUGCACUUUUGACAUCCAUUUGAUAGAGCUUAAAAUUAUGGUGAGUAGCAUAGGCAACAAGAAUACGAAUUGACUCAAGCCUAGCUACGGGAGCAAAAGUUUGAUCAAAAUCCAAACCUUCAACUUGUGAGUAACCUUUUGCCACAAGUCGUGCUUUAUUUCUUGUCACCACACCAUUUUCAUCUUGUUUGUUGCGGAACACCCAUUUGGUUCCAACAACAUUUUGCUUAGGUCGCUCCACCAAUGACCACACUUCAUUUCUUUUGAAGUUGUUGAGUUCCUCUUGCAUGGCCAUUACCCAAUCCGCAUCUUGUAGAGCAUCUUCCACCUUAAGAGGUUCAAGAAAAGAAACAAAGGAGUAAUGUUCACAAAAAGUAGCAACACGAGAACGAGUAGUUACUCCCUUUGCAAUGUCACCAAGGAUGUUGUCCACGGGGUGAUCCCGUUGAACACUUUGGUGCACCCUUGGAUGGGGCACUUGAUUUCUUGACUCCUCUUGUUCGUCAUCCUUUUCUUCUUCAUCUUGAUCAACACCUCCCCCUUGAUCAUUGCCAUCUUCUUGAUGAUCGCUAUCUUGAGUUGGAGGAGAUAUCUUGUUUGAAGAUUGUUGACCUUGGUCAUUGCUUGAUUCUUGAGGACGUACAUCUCCAAUUGACAUGUUUCUUAAGGCUGCACUUGGAGCUUCUUCAUCAUCUAAUUCAUCAAGAUCAACUUGCUCUCCUUGAGAGCCAUUAGUCUCAUCAAACACCACAUCACAUGAGAUUUCAACACAUCCGGAAAUUUUGUUGAAUACUCGAUAUGCACGUGAGUUUGAAUCAUAACCAAGUAAAAAACCUUCCAUAGCUUUAGGAGCAAACUUAGAACUCUUAGCUUUCUUAUUGAGAAUAUAACAUUUGCUCCCAAAAACUCUAAAGUAUGAAACAUUAGGUUUGUUACCGGUGAGAAGUUCAUAUGGAGUUUUCUUUAGUAGACGAUGAAGAUAUAGUCGGUUGAUAGCGUGACAAGCGGUGUUGACCGCUUCCGCCCAAAAACGGUCCGAAGUCUUGUACUCAUCAAGCAUUGUCCUUGCCAUUUCGAUGAGUGUGCGAUUCUUCCUCUCCGCCACCCCAUUUUGUUGAGGAGCAUAGGGAGCGGAGAACUCAUGCUUGAUUCCUUCUUCAUCCAAGUAGUCAUCUACUUGAGUGUUCUUGAACUCACUCCCGUUGUCGCUUCUAAUCUUCUUGAUUCUUAAGUUGAACUCAUUUUGAGCUCUUCUCAAGAACUUCUUGAGAACUCCUUGUGUUUCACUCUUAUCAUGCAAAAAGAAUACCCAAGUGAAACGUGUAUAAUCAUCAACAAUGACUAAACCAUAUUUGUUACCGCCGAUGCUUAUGUAGGCAAUAGGACCAAACAAGUCCAUGUGAAGUAGUUCCAAUGGUCUACACGUUGUCAUGAUGUUCUUAGCGUGAUGGCUUGAUCCAACUUGCUUUCCCGCUUGACAUGCUCCACAAGGCCUAUCUUUCUCAAACACAACGUUGGUUAGUCCAAUGACAUGAUCACCUUUUAGGAGCUUGUGAAGAUUUUUCAUACCAACAUGGGCUAGGCGGCGGUGCCACAACCAACCCAUGUUGGACUUUGUGAUUAAGCAUGUAUCAAGUUGAGCUUUAUCUUUAGUGAAGUCUACUACAUAAAGCUUUCCCUUUAAUACACCCUUAAACGCAAUUGAACCGUCACUUCUCCUAGAGACAAUCACACCUUCAUCAUUAAAAAUACAAUUAUAGCCCAUGUUGCAAAGUUGUGAUACGGAUAAUAAGUUGUAGUCUAGGGUUUCAACAAGAAAAACUUUUGAAAUGAAGUGCUCGGAAGAUAUAGCAAUGUUACCGAAACCCAAUACUCUUCCUUGGCUAUUGUCACCAAAAGAGAUUAAGUCGGUUGGGUCGUCGUUCUCUUCGUAAGUUGAAAACAUGCUUCUUUCUCCGGUCAUGUGGUUUGUGCAUCCACUAUCAAUGAUCCACUUCGAUCCACCGGAGGCAUAGCCCUGCAAAACAGAUUUAGACUUUGUUCUUAGGUACCCAAACUUGCUUGGGUCCUCUUACAUUAGUCACAAGUGAUUUGGGCACCCACACACAAGUCUUUGGACUCUUGUGGUGUGGCCCAACAUAUUUAGCAAACACUCUUCCAAACUUGUUUCUCAUAAUCACAUAAGAUGCAUUAAAGUCAUAGAAAUGAUUAGUAGGAAGCUUUGAUGCAUUUGAAGAAGUGGGGCGGAAGACUGAAAAUUUGCCACCCGAGGGUUCCUGGCGGACCGUCCGCUGGGUCCUGGCGGACUGUCCGCCAGGCCUGGCGGACUGUCCGCCAGGCACUCUCGGGUGCCCAGUUCCGGGAGCCAUUCUCCCACUUGCUUCUUCCUUUACAAAUUUAGGGAAUUCAUGCCCGUUGAUCUUGACUCUUGCAUUGUGCUUUUCCCCACGUUGAAAACCAAUACCAUCCUUGAUGUUGGGACGUCUUGAGUUCAAGUAUGCGCCUCUUGCAUACUUGAGUUUUUCUUGCUCAAGAUCUUUCUUCUUUUGUAGUGCCUCACCUUCCAAGGAUGUGAUCUUAACUUUCAAGCUUUCAAUCAACUUUACAUUAGUAGCACAAGCAUCAACAUCAAUAUCCUUGCAUCUAAUGCAUGAUUGUGCUAUGGAGAGACUAAUUAAUGGGUCAUGUUGAGGUGUUGAGGCAUUGGACAAGAGAGUGUCAAAUUGCAAUUCAAGGCUUUUGUUUAAGCAAAUAAGUUCAUCUUGAAGUGCAACAUUUGCACUCUUGAGACUAGUGUUAGUCUCCUUGCUUUCCACAAGUUCCUUGUCCAAGGCCUUACAUUUUUCUUCUUGCUUAGUUAUGAUCUCCUUGCGUUCAAGGUUUCUUUUCUUUUCAAUAAUGAGCAAUUUCUCUUGUUUCUCAAGGAUAUCAUUCUUCUCAUUUAGCUCUUCUAUGAGUUCGUUAAACUUAGCAAUAGCAUUUUUAUCUAGAUUCUUGAACAUAGUAAUCAUAUCAAUAUCAUUAUCAUUUUCAUUAGAGCUACUAGAUGUACUUUCAUCAUCACUAGUAGUAUAUUUAGGAGAAGAGCAUGGGAUGGCUUUUACCUUUCUUUUACCUCCCCUUGCCAUAAGACAAGUGUGAGUGAUGUUUUUCCCAUCCUUGAGGUUGGGGAAGAGAGAAGUCUUGUUAAAGGCAAGUGUGGCCGCUUCUUCUUCAUCCGAGUUGGAGCUCUCAUCAUCGGAGUCCCACUCCUUGCCAAGAUGUGCUUCACCACUUUGUUUCUUCUUGAAGAACUUCUUGUCCUUGGUGAAGUACUUCUUCUCCUUGUUGUCCUUCCUCUUCUCUUCCUUGUCCUCUUCCUUUUCAUAUGGGCAAUUUGCAAUGAAGUGCCCACUCUUGCCACAAUUAUAGCAAUUUCUUUUUGUCCUUCUUUUGGAGCUCUCAUGCCCCUUGUUGCCCUUGUAGUUGUGGUUUCUCAUCAAUUUGCUGAAAUUCUUCAUGAGAAGAGCCAUGUCAUCAUCAUCAAGACUUGAACUAUCGCUAUCAUUAUCACUUGAUGAGGAUUCUUGCACUACUUUCUUGCUCUUUUCCUUCUUGUUUGCCUUGAGGGCAAUGUCUUGUCCUCUUGAGGUUGAGGUUCCCUUGGACAAGCUCUUGACAUAUUUGGCCUCGCUUUCCAUCAUCUCAUGGUUGAUGAUCUUGCCAAGAACUUCUUCCGGUGUCAUUCUUUUGUAGUUAGGGCUUUCCCUUAUCAUGGUACAUAAGGUUAUGUUCCUCACCGAAAAGGCCCUAAUCAUCCUCUUGACCACUUCAUGGUCGGUCCACUUCUUACUUCCAAGGUUUCUCACUUGAUUGAUCAUCUUCUUGAGCCUUGUGUACAUCUCUUGGGGUGUUUCAUCAUCCAAGAUGGCAAACCUCCCAAGUUCUCCUUCAAGCAUCUCAAUUCUUGCUUUCCGAAUGGUCUUGGUGCCUUCAUGUGCCACUUUGAGAGUAUCCCAUAUUUCUUUUGCACUUUGUAACCCAUCCACUUUAUCAAAUUCCUCUCUACUCAAGGAUGAGAGGAGGAUGGUUGCGGCUUGAGCAUUGCGGUGGAAUAAUUGUUGCAUGGUUGGUCCAAAACUUUCAUCAUCGCUAUCCGGCUGCUCAAUGCCUACACAAACAAUCUCCCAAAGACUAGGGUGAAGAGAAAACAAGUGCCAUCUCAUGUUAGUCCUCCAUUGGGAGUAGUUAGUUCCAUCAAAGUGUGGGGGUUUUCCAAGAGAAACGGAAAGAAAAUUGUUGUUGGAACUCAUGUUAUCAUAAUUGAAAGGAGUGCGAGAGUAGUUAGAAGUAACCGAUUUCUUCUUCUUCCUUCUCUUGAUGUAGAUGGACCCUUCAUCACUACUUGAUGUUGAGGAUGAGGAUGACUCAAUCACUAUCCUCUUGCUCUUGCUUUUGCUCUUACUCUUUUUCUUGUGAUCUCCACUCUUCUUGGAGCAAUCGGAUACAUCAAACUUGGCGUUGUCAUCUUCCUUGUGCAUCUCACCUUCUUUGCCCUUUUUCUUCUCAAGACUCUUGUGUGAAUCUUCUCCGGCCAUGAUCUCCUCGAGUUGUUAGACUCAAAUUUGAGGAACCACGCUCUGAUACCACUUGAAAGUACGCCUAGAGGGGGGGUGAAUAGGCGAUCGUUGCUUAAAAUCUGCACACAAGAAUUCAGUCCGAGGCUGCCUGGCGGACCGUCCGCUGGGACUGUCCGCUGGGCACUUCCAAUGUCCGCUGGGACGUCUCGGGUAAGAAAUGUAACCGUUCAAAAACUAAAACUUGUAUACAAAAUCUACUUGAAUAGAAAUGCUCUAAAACAAGUUAGGAACACUAAAUGCGGAAGCAAUCUAGCACAAGAUAAGUAUACAAAUAGAUCGGGCAAGAAUACUACACGAAGGUACAAAGAACAAGUAUAACAAAUGUGCAAGAGAUGAAGUGAUGAAAUUAAACACAAGAGACACAAGAUUUUUCACCCGAGGUUCGAAUCCACUCAAGGAUUCUACGUCCCCGUUGAGAAGUCCACAAAGGACCGGGUUCCUCUCAACCCUUUCCUCUCUCAAGCAACCACAAAGGUCAAACUUGAGCUUUUCACUAGCAACAAGGGUAAUACAAACUUCUCAAUCCAACCACACCACGAGUUGGUUGUUCUUGAGCACCUCUAACCGUCUAGGAGCCAAGCUCCAAGAGUAAUAGAUGUGGAAAGUGUUGGAGAAUGCCAAGAGAUGCCCAAGAGAGGUGAAUCUCUUGGGGAAAGCUUGAAUCUUGCUUGGAUCUUGCUCAAAUCAAACCCUAGACCAAAGAUUUGGAGUGGGGAAGCUAGGGUUUCACUUUGGGAAGCUUUGGAGUGCUUAGAAUGUGCUUGAGGCUCAGUUUAUGCGGUUGGACUCAGAGAUUUUUCCGUUGGGGUCGAAGGGGUAUAUAUAGAGCCUCUCUAAAAACUAGCCGUUGGGCUGUUUUUAGUGUCCUGGCGGACUGUCCGCCAGGCCUGGCGGACUGUCCGCCAGGAACACUCGGGUUUGCAACUUUCUGUUCAAGGCAUGGGUUCCGGAUUUGGUUUAUUUAUGUUCUUCCACACACUUUCCACAUCCCCCUUGAUAGUACGGUAUACCUAAACUCAAGAAAACAUAAAAUAAAUAAAUUUCUCCACUUGCAACUCUUUUCUUGAUCCGGUACCGUUCUCCAAUUUUGAAUAAUCGUCAAGAUUCACUCCUUUUCUUUUCUCCUUUUUGGUUUCUUUGACCCCUGCUCAUUAUACUCAAUUGAAACAUUAGAUACUCAUUUAGGUUGUUAUUAAUCACCAAAAUAGGUCAUUAGGCCUAGAUGCACUUUCACCGCCGCGACCGCCCCUCCACUGCCCCGGCCGCCUAUAAAAGGGGCCGAGGAGCACCCCCGGCACCCCCACAAGCCACAGCGCCAGCUAGUCCCUCGCCUCCUUGCCCCCACCACCGCCGCCACGGACGCCAUCACCGGCCGCCGCCCCCCACCGCGGUCCCGCCUCCUCGCUGCGUCCCAAGCCGAGGUGAGGAGGGGAAUACGACCCCCUCGCCUCCCUCCUUCUUUUCCCUCCCGCCCCGACCGCCGCCAGGCCCCGGGCCGGCCGGGAUUUCCGCCGCCGGCGCCCUACCCCCCCCUCCUCUAUUUUGCACGGGGGAGAGGAAGAAGAAGGGCAGUUUUGCCCAUAACCCCCCCUUUUUCUGUUUUUCUCCAAAGAAAGCCCCCUAUCCACUUCUUUUUGCAAAAGAAACCCUACGCUUUCCGUUAUUUCAAAUCGAACCCCUCGAUGCAUAAACCAAGAUAUAUUUGAUGCUUUUUAGCAUGCACAGGGUAUUUCUAGGAUUAGCAAAUAAGCCCUUACCCCCUUUAGAUAAUUACGAACAAGUCCCUGGACCCCCGUUUAAGCCCUGAAACCACCUUUAGCGCGUCAUUUUAUGUGCGAAACGACCUCCGAUCGACCCGAAACUUUACCACGCCCUUUCUAGUAUAGUUUUAGUCAUGCCAUUAAGAAACCACCCAAAGACAUCACCCCUAACUCCGUAACUAAAUUAUUUCCGAUUCAAGCCAAACGAUAAAAGCUUUUAGUUCCUUCGCUUGAUUGUAUGUCUGUUUGUUUGCGUCGUAGGAUACGGAGUGAACGAAGAAGUUCCCGACUGCGACCAAGCAACCGAGGACCAGUUCUGCGACCCCGAACCCGAGGGACAAUACUUCGAUUAGGACCUUCCGCAGGGACUUGACGAUGGCAAGUUCAAUUCCGCCCUUUGAUGCAUGUUUUUGUCCUAGUUUUUAUAAACACAACCCGAUGGCCUGUUUUAUAAAAAUUGCAUGGUUUUGCGUGCCGUAACCAUGGUAAGAUAGCCACCCUUGCUGUGACAACCAUACCUUGACCACCUGGUUUUGCAAAGAAAGUGUGUGUGCGUGUGGGAAGGGAUAAAGUGCGGUUUUGAAAAGUGAGUUAGACGGGAUGGAUGGCAUUUCUGUGUGAAUUGCCGUUGGUGUGCUCGUACCUGUGUGGUCGAGCAUGGAAGGGAGAUAUCCAUCUUGUCACCCCUAAGGACCGAGUUGAUGUGUCGUCUCACCUAGCUUCCUGUCGUGCAAACCAGUUGACCGUUGUAUGGGCAACGGCUUGGCCUAACCCCACUAGUUAGUCUGAUAGCCAUCAGGAGAGCUGGGAGCAACGGGUGAUCAAGGAGACGGGAUAAGCUCUGUGUGACUUAUGCCCCGGUUAAACCUCGGUGGUAGGUCGAAUGACCCCUUGAUAAAUCCCGUGGUGGCUAGUCAGGUCUAGCUAAGGUGGGUAAGGGCUUCGAUGGGAUCUGUACCGGCACUCAGGUGUUCGUGCUGUGGUACCCCACCUGUGGGUAAAGUUGCACACCUCUGCAGAGUUGAAAAUCUAUUCGAAUAGCCGUGCCCACGGUAUUGGGCAAGUUACGGUGUGGUCACAUAACUAGUGUUUCUCUCUGGGAAUGGAUGGGCUGGUGUGAGUUGUUUGGAAAGUGUCCGGCAGUUGUGCCGUGUGCUACGGCGGACGGGGAGUCCGGUAGCAGUUUAAAACUUGGAUCCUGUGUGGAUCAACAUCAUGUGCUCCUUGGUAUUGGAAAACUUGUUUUGAAAAUGUUUUCAAAAUGAACCCUUGCAUAUAAUUGAGUUUUCCGCAAAUGAACUAUAACCUUAUCCUUGGAUUGCCCUGUGCAUUUGAUUACUGUUAUACCCCCUCCGUGGGUGUGAUUGGACUUGCUGAGUACGUUUGUACUCACCCCAUUCUUACUUUUACAGUGGAAGACCCAGACUACAUCCCCGAAGACAACGAGUAGGGUUUCGUCCUGCACCCAGUCUUGCCUGUGGUUGAGGCCACCGUUGGAUUCCGCAUGGCGCAAGACUCUGAUGAUUCUCUUUUCGUAGCUAGUGUAGUAGUGUGGGUUCUAGUUGUAAUCCUCGCGAUUGUGGCGCUUCACUGCCCAUUACCGCGUAGAGUUGUACGGUGAUGUACCAUCUGAUGUAAUAAAAGUGUUAUCAGCCUCCUGGGACUGAUAAAUCAACACUUUUAAGUCUUCCCUGAUGGGGGGACGCUUCAAUCUUCAAGGAAGACAGCGUGUCUCGUUUCUACAAAUUUUGUGAAUCUGUCUGGGCAGUAGAAACGAAAACCCUUUGACUUUUCUCGAUAACCAAUGAAAUGGCAAGAUACUGUUUUGGGAUCUAGUUUUUCAAUAGUCGGGUUAAACACUAUCGCCUCAGCAGGACUCCCUCACACCCGCAGGUGAUUCAUUAAGGGUACUCUUCCUGUCCAUAUCUUAUACGGUGUUUUUGGCAUCGAUUUACUGGGAACUCUGUUGAGAAUAUGAAUGGCGGUUUUGAAAUCCUGCAUCUAUAAACUUACUGGUAAUGUAGAAUAGCUGAUCAUACUUCGCACCAUAUCCAUCAGGGUACGAUUACAUCUUUCAGCAACUUCGUUCUGCUAAGGUUCGCCCGGCAUUGAAUACUGGGCAACUAUGCCUUACUCCAUCAGGAACUGUGCAAAAGGUCAUGGAAGUUGGCCAUAUGGGGUAUAUCGACCGUAGUAUUCCCCUCCACGGUCGAUUAUUAUGACUUUAAUCUUUAAAUCGUGUUGAUUUUCUACAUCAGCCUUGAAUAUUUUAAAUUUAUCCGAAGCUUCAGAUCUUUCUUUAAUUGGAUAAACGUAUCCAUAGCGGGAAUAAUCAUCUGUGAAUGUUAUGAACGAGUCAUAACCAUCCACACUUUUUACAUUAAAUGGACCACAAAUGUCUGUGUGAAUUAUCUCUAAUACACCUAUGCUUCUUUUAGUAUUUUUCGUUAUUUUCUUUACGAAUUUUCCUUUUAUGCAUUCAAUGCAUUGUUCUAAGUCAGAGAACUCUAAUGGAGGAAGAAUCUUAUUUUUAACUAGUCUUUCUAUUCUCCCCCUCGAAAUAUGGCCUAAACGACAGUGCCAUAGUUUCGACAACGCAUCAUGAGUUCUUUUUCGUUUUCUAUUCGCGACUGUAGACGAGAAUACAUUCGCGUUGUCAUCGCAUACGGAAUUCACACUUUCACGCAACGAUAACAAAUAAAGAUCGUUUCUUCUGAAUGCAAUUGAAAUAACUGUAUCAUUACAUUCUAUCAAACACCUGCUAUCUCAAAAAGACAGGUAUAACCAUCAUUGUCCAGGCAAGACACACUAAUUAAGUUCCUUUGCAAAGAGGGUACGUAUAAAACAUCUCUAAGAAUCAUAAUGAAGCCAGUGUCGAGCUCCAACAUCGGCCUGGGCUUUGUUGGCAACUUUAAUUUGUCUUUCGCUUCUUUGAGUAGUUCUCGUCGAACGGAAUCUCUGCAAUGAAUUUGCAACAUGAAUAGUUGCUCCUGAAUCAAUCAACCAAGUGGUUUUAGAGUAAUCUACAUACAGGGAUCCAUUCACAAACGAAAUAAUAUUCUCACCUUUCUUAGCCAUGAUCAUUUUUAAGUACUUGGGACAAUCUUUCUUGUAAUAUUCCCUUUCCUUGCAGUAGAGACACUGGUCCUUCUCUACUAGAGCUUGUCCAUCUUAAGGUCUGUGCGGAAGCUGCUGAGAGCCUUUUCCUUUAGAAGAGGAGGAGGAAAGAUUGCCUUUGAAGUUGGCAUUCCCUUUCCUGUUCACAUAGUUGAGAGAUCCGCCAUUGGUGGACUUUAUUCUGUCCUGCUACUGGACACACAUCGCGAUGGUCUUUUCUACAUCCCAAGUGUCUGGCUGGGUGUUAUAGUUUACUACAAAGUGUCAAACUCUUUGGGCAACGAAGCAAAGAUCAAAUGGACAAUGUGAUCCUCCUUGAAGGCAAGGUCCCAUGAUUUAAGCUUGUUGUUCUGAUUGACCAUACGAUGGAUGUGCUCUCUGAUGCUACCUCCAUUGUAUCUUUCUAAAACCAGUUAUUUGAUCAACUGGGUAGCAUAAGUAUUUGAAAAACCAGUGUACUGGCUCUUUAUCUUCUCAAAAUACUCUGUGACAAUGGCACAGUCUGGUAUUGAGCCCAUAAUGGCACGCUCAAUAGUGUUUUUUACCACUACCAAGCAUUUCUUGUUGGCAGGGACCCACUUAGCAUAAAACAUCUCAUAAUCUGCUUUUGCUUUCUUAUAAGAAAGUUCUGUUUGCUUCCAAGAAACAUCUGUGUCUGUGUCCUCCCUUAUAGGGAUCACAGGCUCUAUGGGAGUUGGUGUAGUUACGACCCAGUCCAGCUCACCCAUGAUGAAGUACAAGUCUAGUUUUCUGUACCAUUCGUGAUAGUUGUCUCCCUUUAAGACAGGGAUAUCAUUGAUGGAAAACAUCAUUGAUAACCCUCCUGAAAAAUAUUUUGAGUAGUGAGAACAAUAAAAUAAAUUCUAACAUGUUGUUGCAUAUUUUAAAAUCAGCGUUGGUCAGAAUUUAAAACAUGCAAUACUUUUUGUAUUAAGUCUAAAUCACCGUUGGGCAGAAUUAGAAUUAAUAAAUGAAAAAUAUCUAUCAAAAAAAUAAUAUUGUCGGUACAUACAGAUAGGGGUACCUCUUGCUAGGGUGUCCAGGCCCUUAGCAUAUCACCAUACGUGAUCUCCCCCUCGCCCUCUAGGUGACGUGGCAUACGGCCCAGGCCCGACAGCUGGGACCGUGGUCUCCGGACCCUCCCCGAGCUCUCUGAGAUCCGGGGCCUCCGCAUGCCACGAAAGGUAAGGGAGCUCUCGAGUGGCCGCCGCCGACCCGGACUUCCCAAGGAGGUCCGGGGCCGCCACGUGUGAUGGCCGAACCAUCACGGGCCUGACCGCUUCGAUCGGCAUCGGGGGCCCGGACCCCCACCCUCCGGGGAGGGGUCCGAUGCCGCCACGUGCCGCCCCUGCGGUGGGGGCGGGGCUGGCCCUACCACGUGCAUGUGGCAUGAGGCCCUUCGCGGGUCUCCAGCCCACCUACCAGCAUUUAAUGCGGUAGCCGGGCCGGGUGCCCCCAAAUCAAAAGGUGUGGCCUGCCCCUGACACAUGGGGCAGGUAGAGGCAAUGACGCAGCGGGUCAACACUGCCCCACGCCUGCCAGAAUUGCACCCAACAGUGGCAACACAGCACCACUGUUGGGUAACACUGACAGCGGUCACUGUGCCUGCAAGACAGCACACGACCGCAUCCGGGUUGUAGAUACGCACGUUAUCUUCCCAACUGUGAAGGCAGCGACAAGGGGUUAGAGAAGGAGAUCUCCAUAUCACAUAGAGUAGGCCCCUGUUGGCCGGGCCCACCUGUCGGGGUCCCGCACAGUGUAAGCACCUCCCUUGAACUAUAAAAGGGAGUGUGCACUCGUUAGAAGACAAGGGCUGACAUAUACAAGCUCGGGUAGUUUUCCAUUCAGGUUUACACAGUCAAUACAACACCAAAGUGGACGUAGGGUAUUACGCUCCGGCGACCCGAACCACUCUAAAUUCUCGCGUCCUUCCUGCGUUCAUCCGCGCAUCGAUCGAGCGUUCCUAAGUCCCCUCCAAACCCAUACUUAACUAGGAUUAGGCGGGUGCCUUCCGCCACCCAGCUGGAAAUUUCCUCCGACAAAUAUCUAUGAAAAUUGCAAUGUUGUUAUUGUCAACGUUAGUCAGAAAAUAACAAUAUUACAAUUGUGUGCCGGUUCGGGGUCCCGAACCGGGUCAUCACCGACAACGGGACACAGUUCACGAGCCAAUACUUCCAGGAGUACUGCAAGGACAUUGGCAUCCAGCUCUGUUUCGCCUCAGUGGCGCAUCCCAGGAGCAAUUGCCAAGUCGAACGGGCUAAUGCUGAGAUCCUUAGAGGGCUCAAGAUCCGGACCUACUGUGAUCUUGAGAAACAUGGCGCAAGGUGGAUUGAUGAACUUCCGAGUGUGGUGUGGGGGAACCGGACCACACCCAGCCGGGCAACAGGGAAAACCCCUUUCUUCCUGGUCUACGGGGCCGAAGCGUGCCUUCCCCCGGAGAUCACCAUGGGCUCUCUACGAGUCCAGGCUUUUGAUGAGGAUUUGCAGGAAUAGCAGCGUCGCCAAGACGUGGACCUCGUCGACGAGCGCAGAUGGCGAGCAGCAAUCCGAAACGCACGGUACAACCAAGCGCUACGGCGCUACCACCAACGAUUCGUGCGGAAUAGGGAGCUCCGGGUCGGGGACCUAGUCUUAAGGCGAAUCCUAAAUCGAGAGGGCCUGCAUAAGCUCUCCCCCAGCUGGGAGGGGUCCUUCAAGGUGACAAAGGUGUGCCGACCCGGAUCUGUUCGUUUAGCUACGGAGGAAGGCAUGCAACUACCCAAUCCAUGGAACAUUGAGCACCUCCGUAAGUUCUACCCCUAGGACCUAGUUGAGAAGAAAUUUUUCCUUUGUAAUUGGUAGCUCCAACGUGCAGACCAGGGCGGUGGAGGUCCGCCCUCGUAAACCCGUCCCCUGGCGUACAUCGCACAACUCUUCUGUACCGAUUCGUUAAGGAAAAAUUUGUUUCUCAAUGUGUCCCUGGAGUCUAUGCAGUUCUGUUUUUCCCUUGCUUCUCGACGCUAACCCCCCACGUGGUUUUUCACAUCUGUGUCGUGCCGAAGGCCCUACCUAAGUUGCCACACUACGUCUCUGCCCGGGACCCCUGUCUCGCGGAAGAAAAGGAACCGGACACCUGGGAACUGGCUUUAGGGAGACGUGCUUGUUCUUUGCCAGGGUCCAGGGCCGUGUAGCCGCUUAGCCUGGUUCCGUACCCUAAGCCUACACGUCUUGCCCCCCUAGGACGAGUACCGUUGUACCUCGAACAAUGGACCCGGGGGUCGGGACCCCUUACAUUCCCGAACAAUGGCCCCGGUGCUCUGACUCGUUACACAACUCAGUAGGCCUUCGCUGGCCGGACCGGGACCUCGUGGGGACAUCUACUAAGCGUCGAUCCUAAGUCAUGUGCAGGACCUCGGUUCUAUGGCAGCUAGUCCCGACCUAUCGUGACUACCUCCCAGGGGGCCACGGGACCUCGGUGUACUCGAGAACACUUUACAGAUCGACAACCAGGAAAACAGCUAAGUUUUUCGCAAAAAAGUAGACGCACGAAAUGCUUAAUGCACUACUGAUAAUAUGCACAACAUUACGAAGUUAUCUUACAAUAGCAAAAGUUAUAUUACAAAAGAAACGACAAAAAGAUUCUAGAACUAUUGAUCUGGUGUCCCGGAGGCACCCCCGCUCUGUGCAGGUUCCGGGCGACGUCGGGCGCGUGCCGCGACUAUGUCAGCCGCCUCCUGGACUCCUUCCCACGCAGCAACUGCCGUUGCUCGGAGGGGUCCGACCAGGAUAGGAGUCAGCGGGAUGGCGGGGUCGUAGCUCCGGAAGCUGGUGAGGAUGUAUUCCGCCAUCCCCCGAGCAACUACACGCCCUUCCGUCUCCAGGAGGUCCUGGAUGCUGGCCUCCACGUCCCGCAGCCGCUCGGCAGUGGAGUCCAGGACCUGGAGUGCGGCGCCAAGAGGUGAAGGAGCCUCCGACACCCGGAUGGGGUUGGCUCCGAGUGCUUCUAGCAAAGGGUUCACCGCGCCGACCCAUCUCGUGAUCCGGUCGAUGCUGGCGCUUCACUCCGCCAGGAGCUCCUCCACCUUGGCCUCCCUCUCCCGGAGGGCUGCCUCCCACUCGUGGAGCCUCCGGGUCCCGGCUGCCAACUCCUCCUCCACGGCCUCUUCCCGCUUCUGGAGCUCUUGGAGCCGGGCCACCUCCUCCGCUUCGCGGGCGGCCAGCCACUCUUCUUUCUUCGCCGCGGCUGCCGCCAGCUCUGCGAGAGAGGCCUCUUGCGCCUCGACCGCUGUCGCCGCCUUCUUGGCCUGGUCGGCCAGCUCCAGGGCAGUCCGCUCCCUGUCUGCUGCCGCCAACAUCUUCUCCUCCGCCGCGAUCUGCCGCUCAAGGGCUUCCGCUUCCCGCCGCGUGGCCGCCUUCUCCCGUUGGAGCGCCGCCGCCUCCCGGUAGUGAGCCCCCUGCAGUUGCUCUUGCAGGAGCUCGCGCUCCUGCACGAGCUUGGCGUGCUCUUCAGCGUGGCGGGCGGAAGCGGACUUGAUGCGGUCCCCCAGGCGGCGCUCCCAGUCGGAGAGCCGGAAGUGCUCCGCCCCCAGCUUCUCCCAUUCUCUGCGAAUGCCAGCCUCCAGCUCCUCCUGAGCCUGCUGGCAUUUGGCAAGGAGUCGAGGGAGGGGGAUCUCCGCUGUGCUCGGGAGGAGGGGCCUUCCCAGCACCACCUCUGGUUCCUCCUCCUCCGGUGGUGGGGCGGCGGCGCUAGUAACCUCAGCGGCCUCCGGUGCCGCUCUCUCCGUCGCCUCCGCUGUCUCCGGCGCUCCAGCCUCUGCCGUGGCAGCGGCCCCCUUUGCUGCGGCUCAGGAGGACAGGGCCCGGCCUCGGCACCUGGCUCGGCUGCCGGUGCCUCGGUCGCCGCAGCGGGCCUGGUGUCCUCCUCCUUGGGGGCAGCUUCGGGUCAUGGUGGUGUGGUGGCCUCUGGCUUCGGGCAAUGACGCGGCGGGUCAGCACUGCUCCCACGCCUGCCAGAAUCGCACCCAACAGUGGCAACACAGCACCACUGUUGGGUAACACAGACAGCGGUCACUGUGUCUGCAAGACAGCACACGACCGCAUCCGGGUUGUAGAUACGCACGUUAUCUUUCCAACUGUGAAGGCAGCGACAAGGGGUUAGAGAAGGAGAUCUCCAUAUCACAUAGAGUAGGCCCCUGUUGGCCGGGCCCACCUGUCGGGGUCCCGCACAGUGUAAGCACCUCCUUUGAACUAUAAAAGGGAGUGUGCACUCGUUAGAAGACAAGGGCUGACAUAUACAAGCUCGGGUAGUUUUCCAUUCAGGUUUACACAGUCAAUACAACACCAAAGUGGACGUAGGGUAUUACGCUCCGGCGGCCCGAACCACACUAAAUCCUCGCGUCCUUCCUGCGUUCAUCCGCGCAUCGAUCGAGCGUUCCUAAGUCCCCUCCAAACCCAUCCUUAACUAAGAUUAGGCGGGUGCCUUCCGCCACCCGUCUGAAGAUUUCCUCCGACAAAUAUCUAUGAAAAUUGCAAUAUUGUUAUUGUCAACGUUAGUCAGAAAAUAAUAAUAUUACAAUUCAAAAUAAUCUAUUUGUCUUCAAAUUUUAAAUUCUCCCGUUGGUUGAAAUUUAAAUAACAAGACAAGCAAUCAUUGGAAAAUUAAUCUAUUUAAUCUGUGUAGCGGAAAAAUAAAUUCUAUCAAAAUUAUGUCUAAUUUUAUCUUUUUAGAAGCAUUCUAUCAAAAUUCUAUCAAAUUUGAAUUUGAAAUGCAUAAAAUUCUCUGAAAUUCUAUUGAAAAUUUUCUUCUGAAAAAGAAAAAAACAAUCAAAUAUACAUCUCUGGAAUUCGGCCCGACCAGCCUUUUUUGUGCGUGGUGGCCCAGCUGGAAAAACGGGCCCGCGCGCGCGCUCUGUGAGCGGCAGCCCGUAGCAACAACCUGUUAAGGCCGGCCUGCGAGCGCGCUCGUACGCGCACCACGUCUGCGCUCCUUCGGCGCGAAGCCAACGUGGGCUUGGGCCGUCAUUUUGCCAUCCCGCCUGGGCCGAAAAAAGCCCGAUGUGGCACGGCGCGAUCUCGACCGUCGAACGACGAUGGACGGUCACGCGCGCGUCUCGGCAGAUCAAAAACCGCGGCGCCGACCGACCCCUGUGAACCCUAGCUCAUUCGACUCCUUCCCCGGUGCCUCCGUCUUCUCCACCCGAACCAGCGAGCGAGAGUGGCGACGACAGGCGGUGUGUGGCGCCACGAUGAGCCCCCUCGCCGGCGCGCGCGUCCACCGCAAGCUGAGCGCGCCGCUGUCGAGCGGCAUCACCAUGGUGCCCGGAGCCGGCGCGCGACGAGGAGCAUGACGGCGGCUCGCGCGGCCUCUGUCCGCGCUCGGCCAAUGGCCUCACGAGGUCGAGUCGACGUGUCGGCGUCCCGAACACGUCGACGGUGGACGACGCAAAGAGAGAAGAGGUAGGUCCUCCCCUUUUUCGCCGUCCGCUUUUCUGUUGGGCUAGGGUUAGAGUUUCUGUGGAGUCUCUAUUUUGUUCUCUGCGAUCUUCCCAAUCUCUAAUCAUCACGAGUAGGAUUAGGCCUCUGAUACCAAUGUCACUUCUGUGGAUCGACUACCGCACGAUUGGAUCGGGUGACUUUUCUUUAACAUGAGUACUGGUAGAUCAAAUCAAGUAGAGAUAGCAAGCGAGAGGGAGAGAGGAGAAGGGCACUGGUGAUCAUACCAUCGUGGCUCUGCAUCGCGGGAGCAGCCGAGGAGCCUGCCAUCGUCUCGGGUGGCGGUGACGCUUGAGGUGGCGAUGACGGCGGCGGUGAGUAUUCCCGCCGCUACUGCGCUUCCACUAGAUCGGCUAGGGUUCGGGAUUGUCGGUUGGGUAGCGGCGGAAUGGUGAACCUCGUCACCCGUGCCGCUGGCCCCCACCUUCUCUUUAUAGCGCAGUGCGACGGGGGCCACCAACUAUGAACGGGCUGGAGCGCCCCCGAUCAGGGCGCGUGUGAGAGGAGGCCCAUCGGGCCCGUUGGGGUCCAAGUGGGUCUCCGGGAGAUCAAUCCAACACCUGCAUCACGUAUGGUACGAGACGACUUUCGGGUCAGUUACCGGGGCGAGUCGCUAACCCUUGCGAUUUAAGAUGACCAAUGAUGUACAAUGUUCCUUUCUCUCUACUAUAUCUCUACUGUAAACUGUAAAGAUACUUUUGAUCCCAGUCAUCCACAAACUAAUCGAAUGAACGUCCCACGGGUUUCUAAAGGUUGGUGCGUUAUGUUUAGAAACCAUACGCUUGAUUUGUAAGACAAUCAAGAAUUAAAAAGUAAUUAAAACCGUAUGCUUAUUUUUGAGGGUAAAUAAUUAUACUAUUUAAAAGACAAUUAAUUUCAUGACUAAGCACACGGGAAAAACUUUUCAUUUCUAAACGUCACGCUAAUCAGUUGCCAUCUCAGCGAUGUUUCCUUCCCCAUCAAAGCUUUUGCAUGUGUGCCACGCCCACGCGUCUUAGUUGCUAGUUGAAAUAAAGAGAGAAAGUAUCUGCUCUUUUUAGCAGUGACAACACAGCAUAAACACCUGUUAAGGUGAAAGAACAUGGAUCUUCCUCCUACCACUGUGCCCUAUAUAUGCUCCAACCAGACAAAUGAAAUGGUAUAAGCUCUGUUCCUGAAUUGCUCCUGCGCCGAAGAUUGCUAAUUAACUUGCAGGAACCAGAUCAGGCUCCACUUCAGACACUGGUAACCUUCAUGACAAGCUUAGCUGUACCCUUUUUUUCAUGCAUAUGGGAUGAAAACAAAUGACCUUAUAUUUUGACAGAAAAAUUUCAAUUUAACAUUGUCUAAAAUUAUGCUUCAAGCAUGAUUUUGCAAUGUUUUGUCCAUAUAUCGGUGAAAAAAGAACUACUUCCCACGGAUAACGAAAUGGCUUGGAGGUCUCUGAUGCAACUUUGUAAUUAAUCUUGAUUUUUUCUCUUGCCCUGUUAUUUACUUCCUUUUUUAUUGCAAUAGUGAUACUUCUUUUGGACCUUCUCUCUUGUUAAUAUUUUAACUGCAAUGGCUUGCUCCCCUUGUUCAUUAAAAAAAACUGUAUAUAAACACAAGAAAUGCUCAAAUCAAAUGCAGCAGCUGUCGAGCUACAGCCUACCGAAUGAUUUACGGGACAUUAUUCGGUGCCUGCCUGGGCCAAGGACACCUGUUUUCAUAAAUCAUUAAAUCCAAGUACAUGUGGAUAGAGCAUCCCUUGCCAGAGCUCGAGGCCAUGACUUGCUUGGGAGCACUCGGAUCAGAUGUCCCUCCCCCAGCCCCAGGGAAAGCGAAGGGGGGGAUGCUUGCUUAGUUGGCCGCGCUGCUCAUCUCUCAUCAUGCAACCCAAUAAUGCCCGUCGGAGAAACAGAAAACCCAACGGGUGGCCAUGAUUUUGGUCCCCUGGAAACCGUGCACCCCUUCAUGGGUACUCCUUGGAGUAGGUCCCGGCGUACUCCGCCGCACCAUCCGGCCUCCUUCCGUCCGGUACCCGGCGUACGGGCUCGCGUACGUCGAAGUGAUCUGACAAACCUCGCGCGGCAGGUUGGUGCUCGCGGUUUUCCUCCAGGCCGUUUUGUGCAUCGUGUGGACACGGAACGCGCGCUGGUGUUCACACGGAGACGAGGCGGCGGCGCGCUCUGGAGCCUGGAUGACAGGCAGGCCGGUGCGGCGGUGCUGCUGGCUUGGCGUGGACGAGAUGCCAUUGCUGGCUCACCUGCCGCGGUCACCUCAUCCGUCAAGCCACCAAAGCGACGGCCGGGGCAUCAUCAUCUAGCUCCGUUCACCGGCUCACCGCACGCCUGCAGGCUGCAGGGAAGUUCGCAUCGCGGCCGUUCCGAGAUGAGACAGGCGGGGAUUGUCCGUAUCUAUCCGUGUCACAGCUCCCCGUCGCAAGUCUUCGGCAUCUGAUGACGCGGUGGAGGGACCAGGGUAAUCCCUAUCGGCCGCGUAAAGUCGAUGUGAUCCGGGGAUCUGGGUCCGCCGCCGCCGCCGCCUGAUUUUCCGACGGCCGUCUGGCCGCGAGUCACUGUCACAGUAGACACUACCGCUGCGGUGACUGGUGAGUGAGCCGGGGGCUGGCAUUUGUGGGCGAAUGGUAUGGAGAUUACUUGCUGCGAUUGGGUUUGGAAACUAUUAUUGGAACGGGUUGCUGUCUUGGACUCGGGUAAUCUCCGACCUACCAUUUGUUCUCGUUCUUCUUGUCGCGUGGGUUGUCGCUGUCGGGUUUACGUUGGAGCGAUUACGACAAAGCAGAGUGAUAAACACUAGCAAGAAAAAUCUGCGUUUUGAUAACAAUCAUGUUUUUUCCCUUAUAAUGGACGCACACGCACAUAAGAACACCGCCGCCUCUUUUUUUUUCUGGGUCACAGCCUCACAGCAGACUUAACUUGUGGUCGGGCACUCGGGCUUUCUCAAUGAUUGAGGUGAGGUCUGCCCCCUCGAUCUUACAGUCUCCACUGCUGCGCCUUGGUCGUAGGUCGGUGUCAUGGCUUAGCUAGGGAAUGAGCAGCGCCUAGGCCUAGCGACCUAGUAAUAGCGACUUGCCGCACGAAACCUUGGCUUAAUCCAGAGACAAAAGCCUGUAGCGCCGUGAGACCGUGGCAAGGCCUCCACGCACUAUCAGUUACUACUACCUAAUUUCAUGUGGAAGCUAAAACUGCAUGCAGUGCAUGCUCAGUCCUCUGGGCAGAAAAACAGUGGCGUACGUCAGGCGUGGCAACAAACACGGGUGUUCUUAUCCAAAAGAAAACAAACACUGGCGCAGAAGAGCAUCUUGUUUUACUGCGGCACGUUGCUUAAUGAUGCCUGUUGCUGGAACAUAAUACUGUGAAUCUCUGAGUGCUGACAAGCUAGGAGACGGUGAGGCCAUCCGCCGUGUACAGACGACAGAGUACACAGGCAACUUUUACCGCAAUUGAUCCAGGAUCACCAGCUUUUGUCACUUGCGAACCAAAACCGGCAGCCUUCCCGCACUAAAAAAUCGCCGGCAGGCCGCUGCCAUCGUCUGAGAAAAAACGCUGCAGCCUUCGCUGCAAGUGCGCAGCCGUUGCACGCGCACCUACCGAGCAGUACCAGGCGAGUCCCGCAACUGGCAGCACUGCAGGAGUCGAGGCACCCAUGCGGCCAUACCCGACGCUAGCAGUAAAAGUGGUGGGAAAAAAACAGAGAGGGGAAGGAGGAGGGAGACUCGGGGUCCUGGCCUCGUGGGGUCGGUGAUCGCAUAGUCUCGCUCGCAUGUGCGGCGAGGCGACCGACUCGACUCCUUGUUCGUGCGGGUGAGUUCGUCAACACGGGCAGGUGGGCCGCGCACGUGCGAUCAUGUGCGUGGCAGGGGCGCGUUUCGUGCUGUGCCCUGGGGUUGAAGCGUUGAAGGUAACUUGGAGUUGGAAUCCAAGCUCCCGUUUGGUAGCAGCGCUCCCGCUGCUCCGUUCCGCACGAGAAUCAGCCGAGCGCUAUCAAACGUCAAUUUUUGCGGCUGAUUUUUACGAUUGAUUCGACGGAGAAUCGAGUGCGCCCCCUAUUCUCUUCCGCUCCCCACCCGCGUCGUCCUGCAGGCGUCGACCGGCCGCUCGCCCGCGCCCGCGUUGGAUGCCCGCUUGUUCCAGCCCGCGACGCGGGCGCCCGCUCGUCCUCAUCCGCACCGACGGCCGCUUGUCCCGAACGUCCGCUCGUCCCUGCCCGCUGAGCCCGCCCGCACCGGCCACAUCUCUUCGCCACCCACGCCGAACCAUCGCUCAUCUCCGCCCGUCGCUCAUCCCCCACGACGCCCCUCUGCACCGGCUUCUUGCUUGAUUUGGAGUCACAGGAGCUCCACGGUGUGGGAGCUCGAUUCGGAGCUGCAGAAGCACGAUUCACGAUGAUGGAGGCUGAUUCAUGGCGCUGCAUCGAUGCUGACGGUGGUCCGCCGUCGUCGGCUGGAGCUGGAGCGCCACUAAACACGUCUUUUUAAGAGCUGGAACGACCGGAAGCGGGAGCAGUGAGAAGCGACGAGCGGAACGGAGCAGAGCCGGUUUGGAGCGCUACCAAACGCCCCCCGAGUCGCGUCUCCGCUCUCCACACGGACGAGCCAUGCGUACUACUCGCAUUUUAGAGUUUCUCUUUCUAUUUUUGCUGCGCGCGAAUCGUACGCAAGCUGCAAAGUCCGUACCACCUGGCACCUGCAAUUCAUCGCCAUUUAGCUAGCUUUAGCUUCCCGCGGAAGCAAAUGGAAUUAAUUGGGCCUGAUUUAAUGCAAGUAACUGGGCCUAGCUUUCUACAAGCCUCAGACAGACACAUAUAUAUAAUCUCUAAAAAGAGGCUCCCCGAUAUACAGAUGGGCUUUAGAGAACUUUCGUGGGCUUUGGCCUGGGUGUUUCGGGCUGUUAGCCUGUUAGUACAAGCUAAUGGCCGGGUUCGGUUUCUUUGCCUGAUACUGCUUGUUCACACACUGUACCGAACCCUGAAAUUCUCACGACAUUUUCCUCAGGCCAGUAGGUCUAUGGCUGUGGGUCUAUCUAUCCUGGAAGCUCGAAAUGAAUGUACAGACCGAUGGAUGAAUGCACUAGGAAGAAAACAGGGAGGGACAAUGUCGGAAUUCGCGGCAGUCCGAAGCGAAUUCCAGCCCUGGACUGGAUCUCCGGAAAGUCGCCGUUUUGAACCAUUCAGAUUCAGCAGAAGCUAAAGUACUGAGAUGAUCAAAACUUCAAAACACAUGUUCCCUUCCAGCAUUGCAGUCAAACGGAACUCCUAGCAGAACCUUCUCCAGCGGUUAGCCAGCACCUUCACCAUCCCCGUUCGCCCGCCGUCCGUCCGCCAGGCCAGAUGUGAAGCGAAGCGGAUGGCCCAAAAAAGUCAGCUAACUCGUCGCGCGUCAUCAGGCAGCCGAGAGAGGGAGAGCAGGCAGCUUUCCGCGGCGGGGCCGGCGCCCGUUUUCUCCACGCCGCUUUUGUUUCAGUUGGUGGGGCGUUUACUUGGGCGAUCACCGAGUUGGACAAGCAACCAAACCAACCCCCUCGGCACGCUAGCCAUGCCCAUCGUCCAAGCUACCCGCGUCAUGUGUUUCUGCCUGCCUGCCUGCCUUCUGCGGUUCGGAGCCAAAGCCAGCUGGGCAGCAUGGCCGGGCGGGACCCAACCCAGGAGACCCCAUUUUGGAACGGAUCACUAUCUCCGACAACAAGGACACCCAAAAUACAAGACUCAUUCUAUAUUAUUUGUAUAGGGCUACAGGUAAAGGGUUCGAUAUCUAUUUUUAAAUUUUUCUAGCAAUAGAUAAAAAGAGAAUCCUUUCUGCAAAUAAAUAGAUCUUUCGGAGGGGAGGAUACUCGGAUUUAUGUUGUACCUCUCCUGUCAUGCAAAUGAAUCUUCUAUGUUGAAGACAAUCUCAGCAUGGGAAACGCGGCUGCAGAAUCUGUGUUGAAGAUCGACGGGAACAGUGUGUAUUGUGGGGGUUGGUGGAACAGUACCUGUCGUACUGAAGAGUAAAGACAAGGUACUACCACGACGAUGCUGGGGCGAGCGGACAUCCAAGACUCCGGCGGAUUACUAGGUUCUUUACAAUUCCGUUUUAUUCCUGAUUAAAAAAAUCGUUUAUUCUCUAAUUACCGUGACACGUAAGUUGAUUCUGAGCAUGUGCAUCAUGUUAACUAGCUAACGCAGCGAGAGCACGGAAGCACCAUGCAUCAAGCAUCAGUCCACCUACGAUUCGCAUCAGUGUGACGGCACCGCCGGCUCGGCUGCCGCGCGCCCACGUCAGGUCCGUCGGUCCGCCCUCCCGCCCCAUCUCUCUCGCGCGCCGUUUCGCGGCACACCAUGAAAAGUCCGAGCUUUUAAUGAUCGUGGCAGCCAGACAUCCUGUUUCGCACCUACCUCCCGGAGAUCUUUUUUCACGGAGAAGAGAUGCGCGCCCGGUGAAACCAACCACUCUCGGCCAGUCAACCAAAUCCGGUUUCCCGUUCUUACCUCAGGUGCUCGUAUCAGGUUCGGAUCCAAGCACCGCCGGCGGUGUAGAUCUGCUAUUUUUUUUUUUAGAGUUGUUGAUGAUGCUGAAGUCUAAGAAACUGGCUUGCGGAACGGUCGAUCGACGGGCGUCUGGCACGUUCGGGGACCGGUGAGGACGCGCGCGGGCCGCGGUCGCCCACGGCCCAAGUUGGGGUGACGUCCAUGGAAGCGAGAUGUGGACAAAUCGGGGGCGGAGUGGAGCGAGCGCGCAAGCCAUCGGCACAGGUUUUCCACGCGCAUUUGGGUUCUACUUUCUCUGCCCCGAGGCGAGGCACAGGUGAGGUGACGAGGAAUUCCGGUCGUGAGGUUUCUGGAACGGAACGAGCGGCCCCGCCGGUACGGCGGCGCGGACCAAAAAGGACAUCCAGUUGGUCCUCCAGCCGGGCCGACCGACCCUCCCUCGGUGCCUCCUGCUGCGCCCGUUCCACGCUUCCACUGCGGCAGGGCCCCGCUCUGGCGCGACGGGUUUGACCCGGUGCACGGUGGGAGCGGCGCACGGGACGAGCCGGGGGGCACAGGCGGAGGAAGCUUCUUAUUUGGACCGGCUGAAACGGAUAGGCGCGGCCCGUCCAGUCGCAGGAAAGCGAGGAGGAGGAGCCCCAUCGCCGAGAGCAACCGCCCGCGCCGGUCUACAUGACUAUCGCCUCCUCUCGCGCGCGCACGACGGCGUGACGACCACCCGCGCACAUGCCCGUCUCCUCUGCUGCUGCUCCUUAAUUUCUCCUCCCGUGCUGUGUCUGGCCCGUCCCGAUCGGCCCACCCAUCAUCCACCCUCCCUUUAAAAUCGCCCGAGGCGAAGCACGGCCCUCUCUCCCCCCAGGCGAGCGACGCCAGGGCCGGAGAGAGGGAACCACACAGGACCGUACGCCGGCAGCAGGCGGCGGCGCAGGAGGCGCUUACAUGGGAGUAGAGGCGGGCGGGUGCGGGCGGAGGGCGGUCGUCACCGGGUUCUACGUCUGGGGCUGGGAGUUCCUCACCGCCCUCCUGCUCUUCUCGGCCGCCGCCGGCGCCUCCUGCUAGAGCGCCAGCAGCUCCCGGCCGGCCAUCAGCAACCGUAGCUUCUUUCCUUAGAUAGCCAAACCGUGCACACAAGUGACCGGUUACUAGUUAGUAGGCAGCCGAGUGGGGGAGGAUACAAACAUAGGCGAGCGAGGUUCGUGUGACCAGCAGCAGGCAGUCGAUCGCGAGCAAGCCGCUAGGCCGGGCCCGGCUGGGAUGGAAGCGGAGGCCGCCGCGGCGGGGCAGCCGGCGUCGUCGAAGCAGAGGGCGACCGGCGGGCCGGCGCCGUUCCUGACGAAGACGCACCAGAUGGUGGAGGAGGCGUCGACGGACGAGGUGAUCUCGUGGGCGGAGCAGGGGCGGUCCUUCGUGGUGUGGAAGCCCGUGGAGCUGGCGCGCGACCUCCUCCCGCUCCACUUCAAGCACUGCAACUUCUCCUCCUUCGUCCGCCAGCUCAACACCUACGUGAGUACGCGCGCACAACCAAACCCCCACUUGUUCUGUCUUCCUACUAAAUCCAUCGGUUGCCAGUUAUAUUCCAUCUACUGUGCUACAUCAUCGUAUUUAGCAUCGUCUCUUGGUGACUAGGCACAAGCUACUAGAGACUCGCGUGUAUUAGGUUAGCUAGAUGUGUCCGUGGGUUGCCACUCCGAUUGCUUUUGUCCAGCUAGCUCCGGGCCGGCGCGCCAUCGAUGCCGCGGCCAGGCUACUUCUGGUUCUGAUCUUCUGGGAUUGCGGAAACCAAAGUCCUCCCGCUGUUUCAAGAAUCUAGGCGACCCCUCCACCUCUUCUCUUCCCGGCCGCCGCACACGUUUCGCUGGAUGGGCGUGGGGGCAGUACCACCGGCUUUUCAACGCGGCGCGCAUGUGGAGUGCAGGCUCCGCUAAAACCGACGAACGGAGAAGCGCCCCGACGCGAUCUGUCGACACUCCGACGGCAGAAUCCAGAUCGACCACCUGCAGCACAGGGACGAUCCCGCGGUCGAUCGACAGAUGAAGAAGUUGAUGACCUUCCAAGGCAACGGAGAAACGUAUAGGAACCGAGCACGCGUUUCCUUGUCGCGUUGCGCGGCCGCAGGAGUGUCGGUAUUGCCGCUUGCCCGUGUGCGCACGCAGCACACGUACUGCCCUGCCCUGACCUGGCCUGACCUUCGAGAGAGUGCAGACUGUACAGUACAGCAGGCAGUCAACCAGAUUACGUGUCGUCGUCGAUGGCGACGGAGUAUGUGCGUGCGGAAGUCAAUCUCUACCUAGCUCUACCCCGUUUUAAUUCCUUGCCCGCGCAAAGCAUGCUUUCCGGCUCCAAAUUAAACCAAUGGCGGGGCGCCUGGAGUCUGCUUUAUUAUGUGAAAAUGGUCAAGGGGGGAAGAUCAGAGAGAGACCGGGAAAAGAUGGUUAGAGGGAAAACAUGAAAAGGGUGGCCGAACCUCCUGCUGGUGGUCGCCUCAUUUUUCUCUCGGCCCUUUUUCUAGAACUCUCGGUUGUCGAUGGUGCGAUAGGUUUCGUCGUUCAAGGGACCUGAGCCUGGAGCAGGGCCUUGUUAGCGUAGUAACUUGCAAGAGGUAGCUGAAGAAAAGUGGGCUGGGAGGUUGCUUCAUUUGGCCUCGCAGGCCGGAGUGGCACACGUAGCGACACGCAGCAAGUUGGGAGCCGGCAGGCAGUUCUUCCAUGAAAAAAGCAAGGCUCAUCAGGCGCGCGCAUCUCUUGAUCUUGACACGCCACACGGGUGAUGGUGGCGACAAAGCCAUGGUAGUCUAGCUAGUGCGCCCGGGUCUAUGGCGUAUAGGAAUCUCAAGGAAGCUUCGGAUGGAUGAGCUUUUCAAUUUGCUGGGCCCUUCCGUGGCCACCUACCACAAGGUUAAUGUAGAUCCGAACUGGGCUCUGCUGCAUAUACGCAAUUAAAGCUCAACGAACAAUCAUUCAUUCAUUCCAAACCACCCAAGAAAUAUACUAAAUUAUGCUGCCUUCCAUUUUUGGUUGUCGGGAGAGAGAUAAAUCUCUCUCUAAAAAAAAUUAAACUGAACAUGCGCUUGUGGAGAGAUUCGCACUGGCAUGGCAUGGCAUGGGUGUGGUUGCUUGAUUCUUGUGUUAGCUCUCGCAAGAAUUUGCAUUGGUGCGCGAGAGAGAUGAUGACCUGUCCACUAGUUUAUUAACACAGUCAAAGCCUCACACUGACGGCGCGGGUUUCUUCUCACCGAUCCUUGAACUAUUCUGAUGAGAAGGCAGGUAGCUUCAUUCUUCUGCGAGUGUGAAAGGCUAGGCGGCGCUGCCCCUCUGACUAUCCGAGCAACGUUUCGUUUGCUGCUGAAAGUAGAUAGGGGUCCGGCGUGUAGUAGCGUGGAACUUGUCCAGCCGAAUGGCUGGUCGUCCACGUCUUGCCUUUGAUUGGAAUUUUACUAGCACAUCCCAUCCUAUGAAGAAAAAAGGUGUCCGGAGCAGGCACGUUUGGUGCGAUAAGCUGGCAGUGACGAUACGCUUCUAGAGUUUCUAGUUUGACAUCUAGAUAGAAAGGUUCUCCGUUUGGUGCUUCCUGGUGCGCUGGAUUAUCAUCUCUUCUCGUUUGGUCUUUCAUGCUGAUCAAAUGAUGAUGUGACCAGCUUGCUCGUCAGAGUUUCUGAACAAAGAGAAUUUCCAUCGCAGACAAGAAGAGUUUAACAAAGCGAAGAACGUAGACCGGUACACGUACGUAUGCCAUGGGUUGACAUGGUGGGUAUUUUAGAGUCGCUCGGAGUGAAUGUCGACUGUUAUUAAACUGUCUUUGGACGUACGCAGUUGUCUCUCAAAAGAUAUAGAAGAAAAAUUAAAAAUGGAGGAUCUGAUUACAUAUAUACUAGGAUCUUGUAGUUAAUCUAGUCUGACGGAGUUUCAGGAGAUCGAUUAUUAUUGUACCUUUGAAAUUGACAUGCUAGAGAACAGUCAAGAGUGCCUUGAUGAAGUAGUUUUAGUUCGCUGACACUGAGUCUGGAUGCAUGGAACGACACUGACACCGAUACAGAGAUCAUCAGCUAAUUUUUGACAUCCAACUCCACCCCCCCACCCCAACUCUGUUUUCGAUCUGUAUCGGAUACUCACGAUCGAUGGUGACCAUCCGUGCAGGGUUUCCGGAAGGUGGUGCCGGACCGGUGGGAGUUCGCGAACGACAACUUCCGGCGCGGCGAGCAAGGCCUCCUGUCGGGCAUCCGUCGCCGCAAGUCCACCACGCCGCAGCCCUCCAAGUCCGGCGGCAGCGCCGGUGCGAACGCCGCGUUCCCGCCGCCGCUGCCCCCCGCGUCGGGCACCACGUCCGGCGGCGGCAACGAGCGCAGUUCCUCGUCGGCGUCGUCGCCGCCGCGGGCCGACCUCACCAGCGAGAACGAGCAGCUCAAGAAAGACAACCGCACGCUGGCCACCGAGCUGGCGCAGGCGCGCCGGCAGUGCGAGGAGCUGCUGGGCUUCCUCUCCCGGUUUCUCGACGUCCGGCAGCUCGACCUCGGGCUGCUCAUGCAGGAGGACGUCCGGGCGGCGGCCGGGGACGCGCACCAGCAGCAGCAGCGCCGCGCGGCGGCCGACCAGCUGGAGCGCGGCGGCGAGGAGGGGAAGAGCGUGAAGCUCUUCGGCGUGCUCCUCAAGGACGCCGCGAGGAAGAGGGGCCGGUGCGAGGAGGCGGCGGCAAGCGAGCGGCCCAUCAAGAUGAUCAGGGUAGGCGAGCCGUGGGUCGGCGUGCCGUCGUCGGGCCCGGGGCGGUUCGGCGGUGAGAACUAAAAGUCUGGUCUGGAGGACUGGAACUGAUGCGCGCCAUGGCCGGCCGUGACAUUGCCGGCUUUACAGCGAGCGCGUGCCAUAUGUAUCGUGCAAGGUGAGGUUGAUGGUAAGGGUAAUUCCAUCGAUGAACCGAGUAACAAAGGCCGGUGCUGUGGUAAAACUGUAAAUGCAGAACACAAGACACUGGAGGCUCGCGUAACGCGUGUUGGAAUUAAUCAUGGAAUGCUUUAGGGGUAGGAAGAUUGAAAGUAGUAGUAGAGAGGAGUAAAAGGGCUAGGAGGAGCCCCGUGUGUUCAGAAUGGUACAGUAUCAUUUCCAACUAAAAAACCCAGGAUUUCCUAUUUGCAACUUAAUAGUGAUUUCGGUUGAUUCUUGUAGCUGCACGCCUGCACCCUUUAACUUUUCAAAAAAUUGUUAGUCCACACAUAAGGGUUAAGCAGGGUUGACAAUGAGACUGAUUGCAUUUGAAUGUAUUAGUUUAUGAAGCAAGUUUUAUUGCGAGAUGAAAUAAGACUGUAUAUCCAGCAUGGAUCUUAGAAAUUGAGCUGGCUUUCUCUGAGCUCAAUAAGGUGCGAGGAGGCGGCGACUCCACAUUUUCUAACAACAUCACUGCACAAAUUCUUGUUUGAAAAGAAACUUUUGAAGUCCUUCUUACUUUCCUUUUAUUUCGAAGGACUUCAACAGCAUUUAUAACUUCCACUAAACACAACUCAAAAGAUCUUCUGUACCAAACAUUUUACAAGUACAACAUUUUCAUAAGACCUCACGCAGUGCAAUGAUGUGCAAUACCUAAGAGAAGAAAUUGUACAUACCUUUCCCGUCAGCUAUUCAACUACACGUUCAAACGAGUUCUACAAAAAUGUACGGUGGAUGCCACAAUUUUCUGAAGCAAUAUUUAAAUUUGCUCGAUGGUACGUACCUAUUACUGAAUUGUUCCAGUGGCAUCUCUGAUUUAUUGGUAUAGUGGCUUCCAUUUUUCUGGUUUGUCAAACAAGAAGUUUUUUUUUUGAAAGAUUGGCAAACAAGAAGUAAGUUGUAUUGAAAGGUAUAAUUUUGAUGGAAUAAAGCUCUAAUCUGUUGGGGGUAGUGCAUUCCAUCUUUUGUGAAUGUAUCAGUUGAAAUCAUACCUAUCAACUGCCAUAAUUGAAACAAUGCGAUGCACAACAGAUGUGACGACAUAACUUCAUCUGGGCUCACUUAGCAAUACUAGAGAAGGCCCGGGUAGCCAAGCCGACUAAGAAAUUCCUGUAUCCGCCACAGUUGCUAGCACAGAAAAAGGCCCACGAGCUAUAUCUCCAGCGUCCAUCUCUUCGAAUUGGCCCAAAUCAACGGUGUCAGGUAAUGGGCCGCUAGAAGGUCGCAUAGUCGCCAAUUUGCAUUGGCCAAGCAAGGGGCAGUUUUUUUUUGGGAAAGUGUGCGACUGGCAGUCAAACCAUCACACAAGAAAUGCAGUGGUGCAGUCGGAUUUUAGUUUGGAUAUACGUUUUGAAAAAAUAUGAUUGUGUGAUACCUUGAGUACUAGUCAAACGUGUAACUUCUAAUAACCCCUCAGUUUUUGUCGGUCGGAGUAUGUUCAUUUUCGAAUCAUCUGAUGUCUGAAUUUUGUGAGAUCGAUGUGUUAAUUAGAGUAAUAAGAGUCUAGUCUCGUUGAUGGUGGUGGUUGGAGAGAGAAUGAGAGGAGAGAAAUAUUUUGUGCACCGGGUGCAAAAACAAGCAACAGGUGCACGGAAGUGCUAAGCUAGAUAGCUAGUACCUGCCGUCCAACGUACUGCACCUCUUUUCCCUUCCUCUCUCCCAUCCUUGUACUUCUUAGCAUACACGUUGGAGCUACCCUUAAACGUUCAACAUUAUUGAUCGUUACGAAAAUAAAGGUCCCGAUCUUCUAACAGUGGAAUCCUUGGACACCGAGGUCCCGGUCGGUCAGCUACGCCAUUACGGUUUCCCGCUGGAUACACGAUCCAUGACUCGCAUGUGCUCGAUCGGACAUGCCAUCUGAAUUCCGGUUCCGGACCACGACGCGUCCGAAAUGGCGCUGCUCAUCAGUUUUUCUCCUCCCCGGUACCCAAUCAGCUCGCUACAGGGCUGCACGACAGGUGGCGGGCAGACCGUCUCCGGAGAUCGCUUGGCCCCACCUUCCUAAAUCCGAACGCGUCGUCGUCCUCGGCUAGCUGGCCUUGGAGCCCAGCGCGGCGCCGGACCCCGCGACCACCGAAAACGAAUCGCCGAACUGCAAGCACGGCCGGGGCCAGAGAGCCUUGCUUGUUGUGCGCGCGGAUCGCGAUGUCAGCCAGUCGCGACGCGGAGUGUGGCUGAAAAGGGAGGGCCGCCGGACCAACCGGCCGCUCUCCGACGACGUGUGCGGUGGAGGGAGGGGCGGGGGCACUGUGGCGCCCCUGUACCGUACCGGCCGCUGCCGCUGCCCGGUCAGCGUGAGCUGGACUUCAGUCGACGGGCCUUGUCGCGAGACGGUGAGGGGGAUGGGCGCCAACUCACCCGACUGGCGCCGUCCGGACUGGGGGCUCCAGCGGCGGCGGCCGGCGGGUUUGGUGCGGGUGACCUGGCGCGCGCGCUCCGCGGUUCACUAAUCAGAUCGGUACGGCGGUUCGAUCAUGCAUGAUUUGCUCGCCGUCGUUUUGGUUUCGAUACUUUGGUGUUUCAUCAUCAGCCUGUACGGCGGGGCAUGGCGUGUCAGCGCUGGGAGCACACACGCCUGCCAUCGCCAGGGCGGUGACGGGGGACCAAAUGAUGAUCAGGCUCCUGUAGUGUUGUUCGGUUCGGCUGUUCUCUUGUUUGGUUUGACAUAGCAAACGGAGAUGGGACAUGAUUUUUGGAGAGAGAGAUAUGUGGAAAAAGAGUGAGGAAAGAGUAUAAAUAAGAUUGGGAUAAGAAAUAGUUAAAGUGGUUCAUUUAUCCUUUUCGAGGUGUUUCUUCCCCAAAUUUUUCAUAAAUGUUGUAUUAUUUGGUAGAAACAGUUAGUUCGCGUAAGUUCAAAAUUAUUUCUUUAUUGGUUUCUGUUGCCUGACACCAAAUUAAAUCAUUACUUUCUCGGAUCAGAGAUGUAGGUUCAUUUAGGUUUAUACUAAAUCAAAAUUCUUUUACCUUUGAUCAUGAAUAUGUAAGAUUUUGUAUAGAUUGGUGGCAAAAUAUUGGCAUUACUAGAUUCAUUAUGAAAAUACCUUAAUAAUAUAUAUCUCUUUUCAUUUAAGAUAUUACAAUUCUAUAGGCAUUGUUAGUUAAAGCGUGGUACUAGCGCAGUCUCGACCAAGAAACUAUGUUGUAGUGUCUAUGACAUACCAUGUCAUAUAGACACCACUUAAAAAACUAUAGUUCUCAAUGUAUAAUUUCUAAUUGUGGUUAUAAAAUAAAUUCCUCCAAUGACCUUUCUUCUCUCUCUACCAAUCCCCUUCCUUCCAACUCUUUAAUUCUAUCUUGGUAUCUGUGAUAUCCAUCCCAGUGGGUAUCGUGUAUUUUCUUAGACUUUGAUUUUUGUGCAAGAAACCAUUUCUUGCAUGAGAUCCAAUUUCUUGUUUUUUUUCUCUCUCUCCUUUUUAAUUGCAUUACCAAAUUAGCAAAACAUCAUACAUGGUAUCAUAUUAAAUGUUAUGAAAACCAUCCUAAUCACUGCAUUGGGACUGCCCUUGCCCUUAGGGACCAUCUUAAUGUCCAAAUAAACUUGUAUUUCUUAUUGGAGGCAAAGUACAUUUAUCACUGGUCCAGGGACACUCGUCAUUGGUUUUGCUUCAGUAGUAAUAAUGUGGAAGAAAGGAUUCCAAGAAGUUUUAUAGUUAGCUAAUACGUAAAGUGAAUAUCAAUACGACGAUGAAACUAUAAAAUAAUCUAAUUUUUUAUCACAUUUUUUCAUAUAUAGAAUCACAAAUUUCUUGUAGGUCUGUAUGGUAGUCCUUUGCAAGAGACAAGAGGAAAUGUGGAUAAGCUGCCGAGGGGGAAAGUCCUAAAAAGUACUCCCUCAAUUUAGUUUUAUAAUAAGCCAAACUUUUAUAAUUUUCAUCAUCAGUAAAUACUAUGUAUAUUAUUAGUAACAUAUGAUGGCUUUCCACAAAAAAGAGUAACAUAUAUAUGAUUGGUGUCACUAGAUUCAUCAACUCCCAAGACGGGUCAUGGCGCAAAUAAUGACACUGUUGAUAAUUAAAUGAGGUGGAUACACCUUUUUUCUUAGUACCUGGUGUUUUUUUAGAAAAUGCAAGCACCCAUGUCUAUAGUACUUUGAUUCAAGUGCAUUUUCUAGCUAAGGUUUAGGGGUCGGUUUUGCACAUCGCUAAUUAUUUUCAGCUUGUCAGGAAGUUCUUUAGCUCAAAAGACAGCAAGAUAACCCAAAAUUGUAGGAACAAAGGGGCAAUGCUGCUCCCUUGUUUGGGUGAAUGUAUCAACGAUACUGAAAGAUUGAUAUGCACAUAGCUUACUUUUCCAUCAUCAUCAGGAGCAAGUAAAGAAAAAGAGAAGAGAAAGCUGCCGUUUCUUCUCCUCCAACUUAAUUUGAUCAGGAGAAGGGCAAGCAAAGAAAAGGAAAAGAUAGGAGAGAAAGAAACAAAAAACUCUCUAGCUAGCUAGGUUAAAUUAAUGCCUAAUUUGAGUGUCGAACUAUCAUGUCCUCAACAUCAUCGUCUCACAACCACCCUUUCGGUCCACAGUAGUCCUGUUUUCUCUCCAUAACCUGACAGGCAGGCCGUGCUUGGGCACGGGGAAUGGGCUGUACUCGACCUCGUCACUGGAUCCAACAACCUCCCACCUGCAAAUCAGGCAUGCACACGAGACAACAAUCAGAAUCUCAGCGCAAGAUCGCCGAGCUGUCGUGAUGCGGCUGUGAUCAGUGCUCGUGCUGCUCGCAUAGGAGCAGACCAGGGGUAGUUGUCAGCUGCGCAAGAGGACAGCGAGCUCGUGACAACACUGGACGGACCCACAGCUUAUGGUAUGAUCGAUGCACUCGUAUUGGGGAUUUGGAGCAUGCAUGGUGUGGAUUCGUGGAGUCUUGUGCGGGGCCAGGGGUGGCCAAUGGAGUGGCACCAAGCGUUCUGGUCCCCAAGGACAAGGGGGAAUAUAUGGAGGAUCAGCGAGGAGGGGCGCGCACCUGUAGCCGGUGACCAGGUGGUGGAUGAGGACCAGCAUCUCGAGCUUGGCCAGCUCGUUCCCCGGGCAGGCGUGCACGCCGCUCCCAAAUGGCAGGAAGGUGUUCGGCCGCGGCGCAACCUGCAUUCACAAACAACCAGGAGAGGGGUUGGUUCGUCAGCGAAUUGUUCUGCAAUUCUUUUUUUUCACUUUUAUUUUACAAAAAUGGGAAGAGCUCUGCCUUUCGAUUAAUAACAAGGAGGAUAAAGACUGUAGGACUUUCGAGGUUGUGUGGUUGUAUGCUGUAGUGUCGUUUGUGAAUUGGGGAGAGCGAGUAGUGUAUUGACCAACGGGAGAUUGCAAAUCUAGCAUCCAACUACAGGAACCAUUUCCAGUGGUUUCUUGGCAUCCACAUCAACAGUGGUGAGAGGAUACGAGACCCGUAUGUACCUGGAAUCUAGAAGGGUCGAACUUGUGUGGAUCCUGGAAGUAGUCCGGGCUGUGAUGGAUGUUCCUGAAGAGCGGCAUCACCUUCCACCCCUUGGGGAUAAGGAAUCCUACAUGCCAAGGAAAUACAAGGAAUCCGAGUCAGAAUUAAUUAUGCAGGUCGAGAGGGAAAAAAAGGAGUGCCAGGCAGCGCCCUCCUCGGUGACGUAGCUCCGCGUCGGCCGCAGGCUCGGCACGUGCGUACCUUUGUACUCCACGUCAGCCACGGCCUCCCGGAAUGUGAACGAGAUGAUGCUCGCCAUCCUUAAGCUCUCCAAAAUCACCUGAAGAAACCGGAUGGGAAUGAGAUGGUUGGGAACAAACGGAGAAUGACGGCGCCAUCGAUCAGUAACCACAAGAAAAUACGGGAACGAAUAACAGAUCGCACGUAUGUACCCUGUGCGUCAGCGCCAUGCUCCGCGAGUGCGCCCACGUCAGCGGCCGCCUCCCGCCGUCGGUGGCCUCGCGGACCGCCGCCUGCUCCGCGCGGACGGCCUCCAGGAGCUUGGGGUGGUCGCGGAGGUACUUGACAAUCCAGGUGAGCACGCUGGCCGUCGUGUCCUGCGCCGCGAACAGCACGCCGAUGAUGUUGUCGGCGACCUGCUCGUCGGUGAGGAGGGCCGCGCCGUCGUCGCCCCGGGACUGCAUCAGGCAGCCCAGAAGGUCGGAGCCCAGCUCGCCGCGCUCCCGCCGCUCGCGCAUGAUGUCGCUCAGCACGCCGUGCAGCCGCCGCCGCGCCUGCAUACAGCGCCGACCAAACAGUUUCGCAUGUCAUGCACUGUUGUUUGUUGCCGAGACAGGGAACGCCCAGAAGGUACUAGAUAGACCAGCUGUGAUUGAAUGCCGUCGCGUACCUGCAUCGCCUUGUGGUACAGCGUCCCCGGGAGGCUGUUGGGGAAGCAGUUGUAGCCCUUCUCCACGAUGGAGUAGUUCCUCCUCAGCUCCGCCUUCCGCCGCUCGUCGAGCCGUCCGCCGAAGAUCGUCGCGAUGCCCACAUCGAACGACAGCUGAAACGUAAGAGCGAGAAACGAUUUUCUCAGCACCAUCCAAUCCGACGUUACCGGCAUCGCUGGCUAUGAUGCAUGGUCCCUGGAGGUUAUAAUCAUGCAUGCUUACCCUCUUCAUGGCGUGGAACGUGCUCAUUACGCGGCCGUCCCAGGCGGCGAGCGUGGAGCGCACGGCGGCCUCGACCUCCGGCACGAGCGCGCGCAGCGCGUCGGGGCCGAGCGCGCCCUGCACGAGCUUGCGGAGGCGGAGGUGGUACUCGCCCUGGUGGAAGAAGAGCGCCGACGUCCCGAUCAUGCGCUCCUUGCUCCGCGGGUACGUCGGCUUGAACAGGUGCGCCUGUGUCACCAGCACGAACCGCGCCGCCUCCGGGCUCGCCAGCAUCACGCACGGGCAGCCCAGAAGGUGCGUCUUGAAGAUCUCGCCGUACCUCUUCUGUUUGGAGGUGAAGAAGACGUUGGGGUCCUGGGAGUAGAGCUGAAGGGUCUCGCCAAGGUAAGGCCAGCCCAUGGAGCCAGGAGGCAGCUUCAAGGAAGCCUUCUCAUGGCCGCCGCAGCCGCCCUGACCUUCACCCUUCCGCCGGCGAGCGUAGUGGACGUACGAGGCGAUGGCUACAAAAAUGAAGCUGCACAAGAGGACGAAGAAGAAGGCCAUCCAACCAACUGAUCUUGCUGAGGAGCAGAUCAGUUGCGAUUGCAGACUGAAUGGCCUGCUGCUGCGUUUCUUGGUUCUUGCUCGCUGCGUUGUGUGUGUGUGCCUGCUUUAUAUGUUGGUCGCUGGGAGGAGAGGGAGAGAGAGACGGAGAGGGUUGUGAGGAGAGGGAGAGACCGAGAGAGGGACAGAGGAGAAAAAUCUUUGGUGGAUGGAUCUUUCGACUGGUGGAGGGCGAGGGAGGGCCUUGCGUGGUAUUUAUAGAAGGAGCGCCGCUGGCAGGUCUCAACACAUUUGUUAAAGUCAAAAUCUGCAUGCGGGUGGAUAAGCCCUGCUUAAGCAUGGGGAAGCACAAAUCUUAGCUGGCAUUUUGAUUUUGGAACCAGUUGGAUCUUUUUGUGUUCCCACCACUUCAUUUAUUCGUAAAUAUAAAUAUAUGACGCGUUUUAUGAAACCACUCAAACCAUUUUACUUUGAUUACUAGUAUGGUAAAAAUGUAUUAGAUUGUAUGGCAAUUGUAGUACAUUUUCAUAGAGAAAAAUAAUAGACGCUGAUAUGAAAGACUAUUUGCCCACAACAUCCUUGAAUGUCUUUUAGCAUGGGUCACCAUGUUCAUUGUUUUAUAUCAACACUAACUUUAUUUGUUAUGCACCAAUUUAUCUCUUUUAUCAUAUUUCCAAAAGAUGCAACAGAUAUUUUAUCAACUCGACCAUUAGUCAUGCGUCCUCAGAAUGGAGUACAAGUGCGUUAUGGAGUAGCAAUGGAGAAUGGAGUAUAGUUAGAACAUGCACACUAAGGUUCAAGUCCUAGACUCGGCAUGGAUGGUACACCUGGAUGUGUUUAGUGGUCAGUGGACAAAGCGUGCCUACAUUACAUAUAUAUGGCCAGUCAUCUAGAUAUGUGCUAAGAUUUACAAGUAUGUGCGCGCGCGUGCGUUCAACUUGUAGUUGCGAGAAAAGGUAUGAAUUAUACUAAAAGGACCACUUCUAAUACAUGCAAUUCAUACUACUAUGAAACCCACAAAAAUAUAAAAAAAGAUAAUGUGACUAAAAAGAAAAGUAGGGACCGGGUUUACCAGUAAUCCAAUAAAAAUAUCCAAAGGUUAUCAUCUCACAGUUGUAGCACUCCUCUAUCAAAAACGAAAAUAAAAAUCGUAAAGAAUAAUAAAGCAAAUCACACAAAAUGGUAUCCUUAAAAGUAUGUACACAAAGUUGUUAGUGCAAACCUUGGUAUAUUGCACAGCUGGGAAUGAAUAGAUGUACAAUAUAAAGUAAUAAUUGGUAAAAACAAAUACCAAUGAUUUUAUAAUCUGUUCUUGGGAAGGACCAUCAUUGCAGUUUCUAAAAUUCCUGUGCAAUUGUGUCCGUCCAUAUCUUGUUUGGUUCGAACAGUAUAGGAUGGCCAUAGUUGCGAUAGAUGUUGUGAAGAAAAUUUUGUCAAUUUCGGUUGUAAGUUUCUUUUUUAACACAAUGCUUUCUUGUAUUAUGCUGCUUAUUAUUUUCCUCAAUACAAAUCAAAGAUGACUUUUUGCCUCAUACAGCUCGGGCCAAAAACUGAAGAAAUUAAGGAGAGAUGGGGAGACCCAACUGCUGCUGGUUGGGAUGGACAGGAUAGGGGGCAGGGAUAAGCUUGUGAAGCAGCAACUUUCAUGUGCUCUAUGCAUGGUUUUAAAUGGACAGUUAAGUUGUUUAGUAGCAGAGCUGCAGUUAUGAUGUUAGCGGGUUAUACCCGGCUAUUUAAAACGUUGGCCUAUAACAUAUUUUGUUUUAAAAAAAACAGAGACCAGCUCGCUCUUAGUUUUCAAUAACAGAUUCACAGUGCCUGAGAUCUGACCGGUGCACGAAAGAUCCAACGACGUCAGAUUAUUUGACCAAGUGGCACCAGCUACACCUUGGGCCCCUGGACGAUCCGGCUCCACGCGGGCCGCCCGCGCCAGAACGGACGGCCAAGCAGCACGUGCCACGAGAGCACCGGCCGAGCAUAAUGCGUCCCCGCCGGCCAGCUGGGUCUGUCGUGUGGUCUCCGCCAGGCGGGGGCCGCCAAUCAUGAGGACGAGCGAAAAGCCCCGGAGCCAGGGCCACCCCCCACCUCCGCGGCCUCGCGGGCCUCACGCGUCAGCGGCGCGGCCGCGCGUAUCCGCCGCGGGAUCGGAUCGGCCAGGUGGUGGCUCCCGAGAGUUCCAGCCGCGGGCUGGGGACCCCCACCCCCCUCGGCGAAUCCGGCGUGCUCGGGUCGCCGUCGCGGCCAGGUCGGACGGGCUUCGAGACGGUUCCGGGCGGCCGCGCCCUUGCGCCCCCCGCACGGCCGGGAACUGCACGGUUGCCUCCCCGCGCGGCCGUCGACACCGCCGGCUCCUGCUGCCGCCGCUGUUCCAGGACGUGAACAGCUCGCGACUUGCGGGAGAACCCAUUGGCAUCGAAGGAACGCGACCUGCGAGCAGGAGCGCCGAGGCGCAUGCCGUUGCUGGAUGAUCGUUUUCAUGGCGGCGAUGGCACAGAGACGAAGAUCACGAACAUACCAGUGACUUCCCUUUCACAGUUUGCAGAGUACUGUUUCGAGAAAACCCAUAGAUUAUUUGUAACAUCUGAUGGCGUUGAUGAUUGUAUAGUACGGCAUGCACAACACAAUGCAUGCAUAUCUCUGCGAAUGCCUUUUUCGAUUGAGAUACUUACUCUAUCUGUAUCUCCAAAGGCCGCAUCGUUGACGAGGAAAAUGGUAGCAUCUAGAGGCGCGUAGCACUUGCUGUCUAGUGCUUACAGCUACUGUAUGUAUCUGUGUCUUAGCUGAGAUUUGUGUGUUUCUUCUCUUCGCGAGCGUACGUGUUCUGGAACUCUGGGGCAACUUGAGCUACAAACCAACCUAUAGGGUUUAGAUACUUGUCAUGUAUUCACAGGCCAUGUUGCCCGACUAAAUCGCAUGCAAGGAUGUCACAUGAUUGCAUUGUUUGGUUCAUUUAAUUUGUAGUGAAACAGUUACAUUUGUGGCAGACGAGCAGCAAUAGAUUAUUUUCCUGCUCUGUGCCUGAUGCAUCCCUGCACUGCAUGAUUCUUCAGUGAUCGGACGUGUCCCGGACAUCCACCACAGGAUCAUAUCCAAGCAAGCAUCAUUUAUGCGCAGCUCCUAUCAAAAAUAAGUUUUGAAAGUAUGGCAUUCAGAUCGUGUGGAUGCCGAAUUCGUUUAAAUCUACUACCGCUACUGCAUGUAUGAAUGUCGAAGGAAACCGCUAGACCUGACUGAAUCUUUAAUCCUGAAAAGCGAAAGAUAGGGAAGGAAGAACACCUAGCUAGUCUUCAAAUGAAAAUCCAGGAUCAUGCCUGUUCUGAAGCCCUAAAACUGGUUUCAGAUGUGGAUGCCCGCAUAUAUAUCGGAUUGAAUCCUUCGAGCCAAUACUCCGGAGUAGACACGAAACUACGUAGCGAGUGUUAAGCUUUGACCAUCCAUAUCUUGUUGUGAUCAAGCGGAGAGACCGAAUAAGCAAGCUCAUUAAACUAUAGACUGAUCAAGAUCACUCUGGGACCUCAACUUGGCUAACAGUAACGCCUUUCUCCGGAAAGCUCAGUGCACAGUACCUGAGAUUUGGACGCCGCGCGCACGGCUGUGAUAUUCCAGUUCCCGUCGUGUGUGUGUAAGCAUGCCGCCUCCAAACGCUGUUCGACGUGAUCGAGCUCGAGGCACGUCCGUGUAGCUAGCUAGCGCGACGACCAACACAUUAACUUGGAUUUUUGCGCCUGGGCCAGCGGCGGUGGUGGUGCCCCGCCGGUCGACGUCGCUGUCGCGGAGAUCCGCGCGGUCGGACGCAGCGAGCUUGAGGCUGCUCUAGAACCGGCCGCCGUGGGUCUCUCGAAAGAUAUUGCGGCCCGGCGCGGGACGGCGUCCUCCCGGACACACCUCGCGGCGUCCGUGCGUGGACGCCGUGGUCGUCAUGGCAUCUACCGCGCGCGCCCCGGCAGGCAUCUCAUUAGAUCACCCAACCAUCCGUCCCCGCGCGCGCGCACGCGGGCACAUGAACGACCGCGACAAGACCAGAAGCCGUCACGUCAGCGGCGGCACGCCCGCAUGGCACGCUGACGCGCGCGCGCGGGGAUCACCUGGGCCCCCGCGCGCGUGUGGAGCGACAUCCACGGCGCGACUGGCCAGCCGCGCGCGCCGGCCGGGAGGGAGGAGUGGCCGCGCGCGGCGCUACGGUCCACCGACCGCGCCGCGGGAGGUCGCGUCAUCACGCGCGGCGGCGGUCGCCCUGGCCCAUGUCGGUGCCUGGAGGGCCGCCGCCUGGGCCUCCCCGUCGCCGUCCCCGAGCUCCCCGCGGGCGCCGGCCGUCCCGGUCGCGGCGCGGGCCACGUAUAUGGCUCCGAAACAGACCUUUUCGCGCGCCUUGUGCUCGACGGGUGAUGGCGUGCGCUGCGACUGUGCAGCAAGUUGGCAAUGGCGUCAACGUGAUGGGGAUUGAUCAUGUUCAGGAUCAGGGAUCGGGAUCCCGCGGGCACCGACCUCUUUGCAAGUUGGUACGGAUCAGUCUGUGCGUGCUUGUCGAUGCACGGAUAGGGAAGAUUUUUUUGCUGCAAGCAGACAAGCACAAACGAUCGUGCACAGCUGCGCAUGUACGUGCCUAUACGCCAUGGCACCCUAAACCGACGCGGUUAGCAGAUACAUUUUCAAGAACGAUGCAUUAUUGUUGUGCAUCUGGGCAAAAGUAAAUCACGAUAGCCUGCCAAAGCGUAAAUAGAAAUUUCAGUAGAUUCAGUGGAGAGAUGAGCACAAGAUCACAUGCACUCUGGAACCACCUUCCCAGUCUAUUCAGCUAUCACCUUCUUGCUGCUGCUGUCGUCGUCAGCGUCCAACAUAAACAUGAGGGUAUAUGAGCAUUCAUACGAUAGAAAAUUGUAACAUGGCACAAGGUUAAUAUAUACGCAAAUAUCAAAUAUAUAUUAUUAGAUCAAUCAAAUGAUCUUAAAUAAAAAAAGGUCAACAUCGAAGUUGUAGUACUCGAUGAGAUCUAUAAUUUUGCAGUUGACAAUAUUUUUAUUUAAUCUUAGUAUCCCAUAUAAAAUUUAGAAAAGUAGUAUAAAUGAAUAAUAUCCAAUCACUUGGCACAUGCGACCAUGUAGUGUAGUGGUAUGGAGGGGUCAUGUGACGCAUGGGGUUGUGGUUUUCGAAUUACAAGUGUUGCACAUUUCUCAUAUAAUGUGCAAAAAUUAUGAACGUUGGAUGUUAAGAUUAUUGAUCGUGCGGUGGUUGGGUAUAAUUUUUUUUGUUUUUUUCCAUCAUCAUAAAUAUUUUAUAAAGUUUUUAGAAAACCAUCAUUAUAAUUUUUUAUAGAUUUUUUUAAAAAAUAUAUCACAGCCCACCAGUUUGACAAACCGGCGGUGAAACCUAGACAUCACCGCCGGGGUAUGGCUCAAACCGGCGGUGAUGAGAGAGUUUCACCGCCGGAUCAUGAACCGGCGGUGAUGAUCGAUCCUAUUACCACCAACUCUAAUCCAAUACCACGCUAAACCAGCCAUGAUGGGAGGUUUAGACCCAGCGGUGAUGGGGUGGUAGUAAUGAAUAUAUGAGUGUAGCUACAUAAUGAUUGUUAGUCCGAUUCCUCCACAGAUGAUGAUGCUGUAACUUUUUCUCAUUUGUCUAAAAAAAUAUACCUUAGAAGAUGUGGUUCCGUGCCCCUCAUUUCUUUGAUAUGAUAAGCCCAUCGAGAAUCCUAAUAAGUAUCUUCACCUCUCAAGCAAAGAGCUCCUACAAGACGUCACACUCGCAAGGUGUAGCGUUGGCGCCGAGCACGAAUGGCUCUGGUUUAUACACCACCGCCCAUUUCGUGUGGAGACUGCACGGCAAGGAUUAAGUCGUAACUUUUUCCCCUUUAUCCAAAAAAUAGACCUUAGAAGAUGUGGUUCCCUACCUCUUCCUCUCAUUUCUUCGAUCUGAUAAGCGUAUCGAGAGUCCUAAUAAGUAUCUUCGCCUCUCAAACGAAGGCCCACUACAAGACAUCACACUCACAAGUUGUAGCGACGGCGCCACGCACGAUUGGCUCUGGCUCGUACACCAUCGCCCACCUCAUGUGGAGAUGUCGCUGCGAGGAAGAAGCUGUAACUUUUUUCGCCUUUAUCCAAACGGACAGACCUUAGAAGUGGUCUCGUGCCCCUCGUUUCUUCUAUCUGAUAAGCCCAUUGAGAGUACCUAAUAAGUAUCUUCGCUUCUCAAGUGAAAGACCCCUACAAAAUGUCACACUCGCAAGUUGUAGCGAUGGCGCCACGCACAAUUAGCUCUGGUUCAUACACUACCGCUCACCUGGUGUGGAGACGGCGCGGCGAGAACGAAGCCGUAACUUUUUUUCUCCUUUAUCUAGAAAAACAGCCUUAGAAGAUGUGGUUCAGUGCCUCUCAUUUCUUCAAUCUGAUAAGUCCAUCGAGAGUCCUAAUAAGUAUCUGCGCCUCUCAAGCGAAGGGGCCUACAAGACAUCAUACUUGCAAGCUGUAGCGACGGUACGACGCACGACUGGCUCUGGUUCGUACACCACCGCCCACCUCAUGUGGAGACGGUGCGGUAGGGAAAGAAGCCAUAAUUUUUUUCGUCUUUAUCCAAGAAGACAGCCCAUAGAAGAUGUGGUUCCAGCGCCUCUCAUUUCUUCAAUCUGAUAAGCUCAUUGAAAAAUUCUAAUAAGUAUUUUUCGCCUCUCAAACAAAAAUUUUUAUAAAACAUCACACUCGCAAACACGCACGACUGGUUCUGGUUCCUACACGACCAUGCCCCCCUCGUGUGGAGACGGCGCGGCGACCAAAUCCCCAUCAUAUCCAUCCGCUCCCUCCGAUACGUCUCGCGAUCUACGAUUCUGCGUCGCGCCCAAAUAGAUGCGUGCAUCCCCCGCUUCCACACUGCAUGCGCCCACACAUGUAAUACAGAUACACUAUCCAUCUCUCGCCGGCCGCCGGGAACACGGACUCGACCCUCCGCCACGCACGUACGCGCGCGCGGCCGGAUGGAUAUUUGUGCAGCCGCUUGGCAUUCCAUAUACGGAUAUGUCCAGCUUUCGCGGGACUCUCAAAAGGUCACCAAAAGUAGAAACGCGCACACACACUAGAUAGGCCCGGCCGUGGGAAAGAUGAUGGAGAGAUACGUAGGAGGGAAUAAAAAUCCGUGUGGUCGCCCGCAGAGGCGUGGCCCAGUUUGGGACCGGGGCGCCGGACGGCACCAUGGCAUUAUGCCCUGCACGUCCUAGUCGCCGGGCCUGCGGUGGCGGGUGGCCGGCUCCCGUUGGCGGCCUACCGGGAAGCUGGAGAAUUCGUGCCCGUCCGGCCAGUGGUGCCGCCGCCGGAUAUUAACGCGCGCGCGCGCUGGAUCACCGGUGCGUGCGCGGCGAGUGACGCGACGUGAGAAUCGAAUAUGCUCGCGGGUUGUGUGGAUCCCGCUCCGCGCGCCAGGGCUCGACACGGCGCGGCGGCGACGGGCAAGUGGCCGCGCGCGGCGCGCCACUCGGACGGGGCACGGACACCCGGGAGGCCGGGUUACAUGCUUAAACGUAAAAAAACAGGCAUGCGAUGCCAUGCGACGGUGAAAGUCUGAAAGAGGAGAAUGAUGCAGCGCAUGCAUGAACUUGAGCUGCUUGAUCCGAUUCCUGCUAGCUGAGCUACUAUUCAGUCGUGGUCGUGGAUGAAAACAGCAAUACAAUGAAGUGGGCGUAGCAGUGCUGUCAGUCCCUCCUCCUCGAUCUCUUGAACGCUCGAUCUUAGUUGCGCAAAGCAGGAGUUCAAUGGAGCGAGCUACGUGCCAAUGCGCACCACCACUAACCACGGGAAUGCGCGAUCGAUCGGUGAUGGCGAACGAACUGCAGAUCCCCGCAUCGGAUAAAGCGACCAACCUCAGCAGGUUUUAGCAUCCAUCAUGUGUCAACCCACGCCUGGACAACGAUAUAUCCGCAGUGGCAUAUCCAUGUCUGAACUUGACAGCCGAAAAAAGCGGCGAGCUAGCCGAGGACGCAGACGAGAUGAAACGCAGGAACGAGGAGAAAAGAUUAUGGCAGAUCAGCAGAUAACUACAGCGCCGAUCCACCAAAUCCAGCAAAGGCCGCGGCACCAAUUAUGGGAUCCCGAAAGGGACACUGUUCUGAUCGGCCGAAUCGUAGCACUGUCCUGUCGCCGCCGUUGCUGGCCGGAGCAGCGGUUUCUAGAGAUCCAUCUGCGUGGCCCGGUCGUACGGCUUAGCUCGCUAGCUCUCGCCAAGUUUUCUUCUGUCUUGGUCUCGAUCGGAGCCUCGUGGUUGUGGUUCUCCACUCCACGGGUUAGGAAAGAAUCACCCUAGAGCUAGCUAGUGCUCGGAAUGGGAGCUCGCCCGCUCUGUCGCGGCCCAUGGCCACUGCGAGCUACGCUGCGACCGUCGCAUAGCAUUGCAUCGUAAGCUUUGCACUAGAACAUUACCGCCAAGUGCCGACGGGCUCGCGGGGACAAAUGGAGCCCUGCGGCGGGGCGCCGCGCUCGCGCGCCACACGUAGCGGCCGCCCUGGCCCCUCAUCAGGCCGGGCUGCCUUUGGAUGGUUGGAAUCCGCGCCCGCGCGCGAUCCCCGACGUGGAGUCGCCAUCACGAGGAAUCCCGAGGCGGGUGGCGCGGAAUCCGGCCGGUGUGCUUGCGGCUGCCUGCCCGACAGGGAUCCUCGCCGGCGCGCCGUGGCGCCCCGUGUGCCGGCCGUGGAGCGGCAGGUGUGCGCUCUCCUUGAUGCGCCCGCGGGUACGGUGGCGGGGCUGCUUUCCACGGCGACGCGACGUGAUGGGCAUGUGAUCGCAAAUUCCUCUCGGGUUGGUACGGGAGAUGUGAUGGCCAUAGCUUUCAGUGCGGUGAAGUUGUUGGGUAAGUUAGGAUCAGUUUUUGGAAACACAGUGAUGUCGGGUGCAGCGGUGGCCAAGUGGUUGGUUCGGUUGUUCCGAAGAAAGAGUGGAGCCUGCACUGCCUAACAAUAACGAGAGACACCAACAACACCAGCGCAAGAACACCAGGCAAACACAGGAGUCUUCGGACAGUUCAAUCAUUUAGCAGUUAGCUGAUCAGGGUUGUAAGCGGAGAAGCAAAGAGCAAAGCCAUAAACUCCUUUUGCAGUCUUUUAUGCUUCAAGUUCCUACAGCAAGUACGAGCCUCAAAGCUGAUUCACCACAAUAGAAAUAAAAGUUCACCAACAUAAGAAAAAUAAUCAUAAGCAAAGUUUAUUAUACUUUUCUAUCUAUUAUUGACGAAGAUAUCCAAAGCAAUGGCUCCAUGCGCUUUGCUUGCCCUACAAAUCACUUCCCUUGUGUCUAGAAUCAGAGAAUUGUGGACUGAUAAGGGUGUGUUUGGUUGGCUGCAUGCAGCCUAGCUUGGCUCAUGGACUGCGAUGCGGGAUGCGAGCAUGCAUUUGGACGCCUGGACACCUACCUCGGCGUGCAGAAGGACACGGCGAGCCAGGCUCCCGAGAAAUGAAAAUGAAUUGCGUUUCUUCGCAGCCUGUCUCACGCGAGACGCGAGUGCGUACGUGAGAGGUGACGUCGCGUGUAAGAUUCCCGACAAUCAAACAUCUACUGUGUUUAUGUUGUAUCCGUAUAUUCAUGCAAACAAACGACAAGAGUGUGCACGCAUACGGUCUGUCCCAGCUGAGCCUGGCUGUUGCAUGCGAGCCAGUGAACCACUGCACGUGCAAUGCAGCGGAAGCAGAGUUGAAACACAAUUUUAUAUUUAUCUCUAUGAGAGUGGAAAAAAUACGAGCGCAAAUUUUUCUAAUCUAAGAUGUCGAGUCCAAGCUAUAUCUCUAUAAAAAUAUAAAAAUAUAGCUUUGUUCUCUAUUUUCAUUAAACACUAUGCUAUGCCAAGAAAAAAAAAUCCUAUACGCUGGUUAUUUAUAUGCAUGAUUACUCGAGCACUCGGCUUAGCCUAAUCUGUUGAGGAUCAGUAUCCGUGGAACCAUCACUAACAGGAGGGACAUUAUUUGUACAUAACUGGGCGAACGUUUGGUGGUUUAAACUGACACAGGUUCACUGAACUAUAUGAACAAGAAAAUGGGAGGGAAGGAAAUAGAGACUCGAGGUCUCGAGCAGUUCGUUUGGAUCCUGAAUGAGAGAUUUGAAUCGGGAGACGAAAUUGGGCUUCAAGGGCUCGAUCGAAAAAUCGAGUGGGAAUGAAAGCCCAAUUCAGCUAGGCCUCAACAAGAUCACUUAUUCGGCUAGAGCUGAGCCCAAUCCCAGCAGCCCAACUGAAGCGGCACAAAUGCCAACGAGCAGUGAUCUCGAAGGAUAAUGCUUAUCCUGGCCCAGAUCGGCAUCCUAUUCCUAUCCUACACGUACGGUACGGGAGCUAUACUCGUCGAGCAAUGACUGAAGACAGAGAAGCCGCCUUAUCAAAAAAAAGAAAAAGACAGAGAGCCGCAGAGCUUAUCCGCAUAACGACCCCCCAAGCAAGUCCCCUGCUUAUUUGGCUAGAGCUAGCUGACGGCUAGGUCAGCAGAAGAAGCAUGGCGAAGGCCGGCGGCGCGUGGCGGGUCAGACUUUGGGGCACGUUUGGGUUUGCAGCUCCAUCCUGCUUCCUUGCCACGACCACUCCAGCGAGUACGUACGUGCCUGCGUGCCCUUUGCACAAGAGGCUACGGAAUGGCAGGGAUGAGCGGGCCGCGGGCGACAUGGCAUCGGCCAGCGCCGCGCUGCAUUGCAUGCUGAGGCCAAACACGCACGCUUUCAACCAUGGUUUCGUUGCUAGUACUUUGUUGAUGCGGUGAGCCAAAAGAGGCUGUGGACAUGUACAACGCGGCCACCUCACCGCUUAUUCUCUGCCUUUGUUUGAAGGACGGAGAGGAUUGGUAUCAGUAGUUCGUAGCGGACCAAGCAGAGGAGACGGCUGCGCGCUAGCUUCUUCGCCGAGGAUGACGGUGCUGCUGCCUUAUCCGUCCCAUCGAGCUAUCCGGAACAAACGGGACGGACGACGGGGAGCACCCCGGCCGCUGUCUCUAUAUAAACCCUGCCAAGUUGCUAGUACUCGUUGUAUAUCCAAAAAAAGGAUGCGCACAACACAAGCACACAAGUGUACGUGAACGUACGUAGUCAGGUAGGCAGAGUACACUGCACAAUGGAGAAGCAACUGGUCUCGCUGUCCGCACUCGUGGUGGCGUUCCUCUGCCUCACGCCCGACGUGCACGCACAGACGACGACACAGAUCCUGUUCCAGGUGUUUAAUUUGAACAAAACAUUUCGCACACAAUUAAACACGUACGUGUGACGUGUACGCAAGUAGUUAACCGUGCUCUGGUUUGUUCAUUUGGUGUGUACUGUACUGUGCGUGCUUGAAGGGGUUCAACUGGGAAUCCUGGAACAAACAGGGCGGCUGGUACAACGCGCUUAAGGGCCAGGUGGCCGACAUCGCCGCGACGGGGACCACGCACGUCUGGCUCCCGCCGCCGUCGCACUCGGUGGCGCCGCAGGGGUACAUGCCGGGCCGGCUCUACGACCUGAACGCCUCCAGGUACGGCACCCGGGCGGAGCUGAGGUCGCUCAUCGCCGCCUUCCACGCCAGGGGCGUCAAGUGCGUCGCGGACGUCGUCAUCAACCAUCGUAGCGCCGAUUACAAGGACCGCCGCGGCGUCUACUGCAUCUUCCGGGGCGGCGGACCCCCGGGGCGCCUGGACUGGGGGCCCGGCAUGAUCUGCCGCGACGACACCAGGUACUCCGACGGCACGGGCCACCCGGACACGGGCGCCGACUUCGCCGCGGCGCCCGAUAUCGACCACCUCAACCCGCGCGUGCAUCGGGAGCUCUCCGAGUGGCUCAUCUGGCUCCAGAAGGGCGUCGGGUUCGACGGGUGGCGCCUCGACUUCGCCAAGGGGUACUCGCCGGCCGUCGCGAGGGCGUACGUCCGGAACGCGAGGCCGGGCUUCGUGGUCGCGGAGAUAUGGAACUCCCUGAGCUACGACGGCGACGGCAAGCCGGCGGCCAGCCAGGACGACAAGCGGCGGGAGCUGGUGAGCUGGGUGAAGGAGGUGGGCGGCCCGGCGGUCACGGCGUUCGACUUCCCCACCAAGGGCGUCCUGCAGGCCGCGGUGCAGGGCGAGCUGUGGCGGAUGCGGGACAAGGACGGCAGGGCGCCCGGGAUGAUCGGGUGGCUGCCGGAGAAGGCGGUCACGUUCGUGGACAACCACGACACGGGGUCCACGCAGAGGAUGUGGCCGUUCCUGGCGGACAAGGUCAUGCAGGGCUACGCUUACAUCCUCACGCACCCAGGGAUCCCCUGCAUCGUAAGUCCCUAGCUACUCACUAGCUUGUUACGCCUGCACAAUAAUGCUUUCUUGAUCGGCUCAUCGUACGUACAAUUUGUCUGUUUGUUUUGUGCCGUGUAGUUUUACGAUCACGUGUUCGACUGGAACCUGAAGCGAGAGAUCACGGCGCUGGCGGCGGUGCGGCGGCGAAACGGGAUCAAAGCCGGGAGCAAGCUGCGGAUCCUGGCGGCGGAGAGCGACCUGUACGUCGCGAUGGUCGACGAGAGAGUCAUCGCCAAGAUUGGGCCGCGGUUCGACGUGGGCGGCGUCAUCCCGCCGGGCUUCAAAAUCGCCGCCCACGGUGAUGGCUACUGCGUCUGGGAGAAGAGCCGUAGGUAGUCUCUCAGACCGCCCGCCGGCUCUAGCACUAGUACUCGGGACAUCCAGAUCCAGUACUAGGUAGGAUGUCAGGCCUAGUUACUUGUUUUAAGCGUGGAAUGUUUUUCUUUCCACAGAAGCCGACGAGUUAACUGCGUGGAAUGGUUGUUUAAGCUUUCAGAUAGUCAAUAAACCUGGAAUAAUCUUUUGCGCCAUGUUGUGAUGAUCAACACCUUGAAGCCUGAUGUUGCACGUACAUGACUGCAGCCAGUAAAUGACUCCAGCAUGUGUGAACAAAACACAGAGAGAGAACACGAAAAUUCACAACGAAAGAAGGAUUUUCUUUCGCCAAUACUUGCAUUGUAUCGGCCCGAGUACUGCUAAGCAAGCUGGGCCGUUUCGCCAAUGCAUUCAUUAUAAAAUUUAGGGGAAAAUCCGGACCCUCGAACUAUCACAAAAAUUCAAUUUUCAACCUUCAACUAUAAAAUCGAGUAAAAUAGACCAUCCAAUUAUUGAAACCAUGCAAAUUUGGCUCUUUGGAUGGUUUUAAAGAUGGUUUUAUAUUUUUUUAAAAAUAAAGAUUCUAAUUAGAUCUAAAAAAUCAAAAUUAAUCCAUUUUAAAUCAGAAAAAUAUGAAACUAGUAUCAAUUUUUUUAAAAUGUAACCUAUCUAUUAUUGCUCUAUUUUAAACUUAUUUAUUAAAAAAUAAUAGGUAUAACUAUAAGCAACCAAAUACUAUGAACAUAAAAAAAUCUGAUAACUGACAAGUAGAGUAUCAAUAGAUAUGUUACAUUUUUAGAAAAUUAUUAAUAUCCAUUUAAUAUUUUUGAUUUAAAAUGAAUUACUUAUCAAUUUUUUAGUUUAAAAUUGUAUAUUUUUAAUUUUCACAAAAUGAAAAACAACCUUUGAAACCACCCAAAAGAUCAAAUUUGCAUGGUUUCAACAGUUGGAUGGACUAUAUUAUCCGAUUUUAUAGUUAAAGGUUGAAAAUUGAAUAUUUAUAAUAAUUCGAGCGUGUAAACCGGAUUUAUUAAGAUCCAAAUAGAUACCAGGCCCAUUUAUUUGGUCCGAGCACCAAUGGGCCAAGCUCGCCUUUUUCUCGUUACAUUCGUGUAAAGGCUGCUGCUUCCUCUCCCUCUCUCAUGCUCCUAAGGUACAAGGAGCAACGGCGAGCUACAACUACAGCCAAGCCUCUUCUCCAAUCGGACUAGUAACUUUCCACGCGCUCCAGAGAAUCGUUUAGCCACAGUGCUCUCAUAUGCUCUGACUUUUAUUGUUUUUAAACCUGGAUUUAAUGUUUCAGCAGCAGUUUAAUUUGGUUAUCUUUUCAUUCUACUCCCUCUAGUCUUACUACUGCAUGCCAUUUCGGUUGUCCAAAACAAUCUAAAACUACACGUAGUUCAUCUUGUUUGUCCAAAAACAUCAUAUAUAUUGGUUGGAGGUAGUAUAAUAAUCUUCCACAUUGGUCGUGGACAAUGUGCGAUCGAAUCGAUCAGAACAGCCAAAGCAGCAGCAGCAACAAAAAAAAAAA